rnacentral:lncRNA from 1 species
AAAGUGGUCGCCCAAAUAGCAGGCGCAUUAGAACUGAAAUGGACGUCGCAGAGAAAAUGCAGAGGAAGUGUAGCAUAUGUAGACAACUAGGGCAUAAUAAGAACAAAUGUCCAUAUCGUGGAUCUAGUUCCACAACUUAGUUUUCACUUUCAUAAAUCUGUGUACCAAAAUCAUUUUAAAUUAAAGUUUACUUUUUAUUCCAAAUAGAAGAUGACACUUGAACAACAAACACAAACAUCUAACAUUACAACACCAAUUACUAAAACAAAAACAAAUACUGGAACAAAAACAAGUACUAAAACAAGAACAAGUACUAGAACAAUAACAAAUACAACAACAACAUGACAAACAACCAUUAAAAUCUAAGAAAUUACAACAGUUAACACUAUGUCGUCUGAUCCAUGCAUCAUUUGGAUGCAAUCAAUGUCGCUUUCAACUUCAACCCACCAACGUAUCGUUUCUCCAGUUUCAAAUGAGAACCUUGUUCUAAGCCUCUGAAUCCUUCUGAUGACUUCACCAGGUUGGUAAUCUCCCUCUAACCAAGACAUCAAGGACCUUUUUAGUUGGUCCAACGAACGGAUGUUCCAAAAUUUCAUCUCCAUUGGGGGUUUCACAGGCGAGAAAAUAACAUGCCCAUCCCUUUUUAAGAUUACUGGUUCAGGAUCCGGGCGCCUUGAUGAUGUUCGCUGCCAUGACGACGGUCUUGGGGAUGCCAUGAACUCAACUUGAUAGAGAAAGUGAUAGGAAAUAGUGGUGAAGAAAAUGCAAGGAAAUAACACUUUAUUUAUAGGAAAAGAUCUAGGUUGUACACCAAUCUACUUAACCCUAAUUAGUGUCGCACUUGAUUAAUUAGUCUUAGAGGGAAUUAGGGUUUGAAUUAGGUCAUAACUACCAAACUCUAAUUAUAACCGAUCAAUAAACCCUAAUUAUAAUUGAUUAAUUAACCUUAACAUGAUUAACCCUAAUUCUUCCAAAAAUUUAUAAAUAAUAUUAAUUACUUAUAAAUUAAAUUAAUAUAUAUAAAUUAAUAUAUAUAUAUAUAUAUAUAUAUAUAUAUAUAUACAUAUCUUGUAAAUAAUAUUAUUUAUAUAUAUGUAUUAAUAUAAUUUAUAAUAAAUAUAAAUUAAUAAAUUUAAAAUAAGUUAAAAAAGAUUUAAAAAAAUUAAAAAAAUAAUUAAAAACAUAUUAAAAAAUUUUUUUUUAAAAAAAAACAAAAAAAAAUUGAAAUUAGGAGUAGGCGCCACUCCUAGUGGCGACUUGCCCUCCAAUUAAGGGUAGGCGCCAUCUAGGGUGGCGCCCAUGUACAAAUUAGGGCACAAAUGUGUCCAUUUUUGAAUUUUUUUUGAAAUAAAGGUUAUUUUUGUAUUUUUUUUUUAAAAUAUUGAUUUUUUUUAAAAAAAAGCUUCUCAAAACUUAACCUACUUUACUAAUCACAAACAAAUUCCGUAUUUCUUUAUAAUCAUACGAAUUUUUAACUUUUGUCACUCCAUUAUAGUUUUUCUUUCAACCAUACUCCAUCAUCAUUACACCAUCCCUUUCAAACAUAGUCACAAUAUCCAACUCAAUAUUAAUUGUCGUUCAAGUCAAUAUUGGUUGUUGGUGUCAAUUAAGAUUUAUAUGUUGUAGUCCAACUCAAAUUUGUUUUGUUUUUGUUUAAUGAAGUAUAUUAUAUUAUUUAUUUUUGAUAUUUUAUCUUAUUUAAUUUAGGUAUUCUUAAUUAUUUGAACUUUAUUUUAGUUAUUAUAUUCUAUUAUUUUAAUUCUAGUUUGAAUUAGUUUAACUUAGUUUAUUGUAAUUUUUUAAUUUGGUCAAAUUAUUCUUAAAUGAAAGUUGAAAUGAAGUGUAGAAUUAUGUUAUGUUAUUAUAUGUAUUAUCGAUAUUAUUGUAAUAAAUUUGUAAUGAAUUUUUGAAAUAAUUAUUUUAUUAAGUUGUUAAUAUAUGAUUAUGUGUGACAUAUUUAUGAAAUUUAGUUUAUUAUUAUUAGUUUAUUUAAUAAGCGGUUCGACCUUAUAUUUAACCGGUUGAAUCAAUUGAACAUUAAACCGCAUGUUUCACCGGUUCAAUCUUCGGUCCGAUUUUUAAAACAUUGCAUCUGGGAGAAUUUAGAACCCUUAAAGGCGGUGGUUUUUUCUAGUAACUUCUUCAAGAUAGAAUUUCCACUAGAAUUUAUCUGUUCAAGCGUCGUAUUAUUCUGGACUUAGAUGUCAUCUCUUGUAUUUUUUGCCUAGUUGUUCGUAAGACAUCUUCUCACCUGUUUGGUGGUGGCUUAUUUGUGGUAUAAAAUUUGUAGGUUACUUGGCUGGCUUUUUAUUUUACCUAGUGACAUUUCUACGAUUUUAUAGAUUAUUAGAUCCUUAGUGGUUAUGAUUAACACUAGAUUAUGUUUGACUCUGCUUUUACAUGCAAUGGUUUUCUCCAUUUAGAAAUUCUCUUAAUGAAUCUAUUUGUUAAGUAAGUCAGUAAGAAUGGAGGAAUGGUUCGAUUAUUGAGUCUUUUCUUCUUGAAAAUGAUAUCUUGGUAAGUUGUCUGGAUACUCUUGUUCCUACUAUGAGUGUUGGAAGAAACCCACUCUUUGCUAGAAUCAUUUGUAACUUGAGGUUUACUAGCCAAUUUCGUCCAGUUUGCUAGUAUUUUGGUUUCAUUGAACUUGCUUUUUUAUUCUUUUUUAAGAUGGUUAGGAUUUGUACUUUAUUGUUAUGGGUAGAGCCUGUGGGUUCUUGUCUUUUUAAUUGGCCGUUUUUGGUGAAUUUUACAUGACACCCAUUUCAUUGAACAUGACACUCCAACAUUAGUAGCACUUUUAUCAUUGUCAUACCCCAAAAAUUACCCUACUUCUUUUCCACUUUUCAUUUGCCUCUUGGUCCAUGGUUCAUCUGCAUACUUAUACCCUAGUCAUCUAGAUCAUUCAUUUAGAAUAUCAUUUUUUUAAAUAACAUCAUUGAUUCAAAGGUUCCUUGUUAUUUAAAAUACAAUGCACUAAAUUAUGGUUUGCAAGCUUAUGGACUUCAUUGUGCUUCAUCUUUGACUUUUAGCUAGGGACACAACAAGAUUUUGAUUAAUCAUUCUUUUUGGAUCAAGUCUCUAUGGAGCCCUAAUAUUGGUCUAUGACAUUUUGGAUUAUAUUGAUUACAUCAUAGACAGUUGAUUUAGAGGUCGCUUUCAAGUUUGACUUUGGUCAACAAAAGUCAACCAUGAGAGGUUGACCUUUUGUUGACUAUUCUCUUGUGAGGUCUUAUCAUUGAUUUUUCAAUUGGCUCAAGAUUUCAAAUUCAAAUUCAAAUUCAAGUUUAAGAGUUCAAGGUUCAAAUAUUCAAACAAAAUCAAUUUUGGAAGGAAAGAACAUGGCUUUGAAAACAAGUCACAUAUUACAAUUCAAGGAUCCAUUUUCAUUACAAAAUCAUCAAAUGUCCAUUACAAAAGAGUCAAAUUCAAGUUCCACACAGAGUUUUACACAUUUGAACCAAAGUCAACCUACCUAAACCCUAUUAUACCUUUCCUUCACCCUCAAAAUCCUUGUGUAUUCAAGUCUUCAAAAUUCUUCAUGAUUCUUGAUGUGUCCAAACUUUUCUUGUCCAUCACACAUGCCAGCUUUACAUGCCAUGAUGAUGUUGUUUUCAAGCCAAGUCAUGCUCAUUCCAUGACCACACCAGUCCUGUUACAAUAACAUAAAUAUAAUGCACAAUUAUCACUCUUGCCAUACAUGGACACACAUAACGAAAGACAGAUCCAGUUCAAAGCAUCACUAACUUUAGCCUAACAGUUCAACAUAACAUUAACUAAUAUGACAACUUCAUUUCAGCUAGCAAUAACAAGCUUGCAUCUUCAUUAGCAACCAAAUACAUUCAACAAUUGAUCAAUUAACCUAGAAACAAACUAGUUCACUAACAUAACAAAUGAAUUACUGGUUGUCAGGGUUAACAAAUCAAACAAGUUUUUCCAAACUCCAAACUAACUUCCACCCAUCAGUAGUUAGUUAACUCUUAUUUUAACCAAUUCUAAUAAAUCUCAAAUUAAUCUUUCUAGCAUUGUCACAAUCAACAACUUGCAUCAAAUAGUUAUCACAAUAACAACAAGAGCCUAAGUGUAAGACCCCAAUUUUGACCCUAAGAUCCCUCAUGCAUUUUCAUCAUAAGCAUAGGUAUUGGGAUCAUAUCUUGGCAUCCUCCUUACCCCUUUCUUCAUUGGGUUUGUUUUGGGAGAGAUCACCAAGCAUCUUUGUGAUUACAUCAUACUUGUAUAUUAUCAUUUCACUAACAAAAAUUGAUUAUUUAAAAAAAACUUCAAGUUUUGAUAUUGACAUAUUAAAUUUUUUAAAAUGGUCAAUUUGAUGCAUUUUUUUUAAUUGGACGGUUUUACAAAAUCGGCUCCGGUUCUUUGAUUCGAAUGGUUUUGGACGGUUCAAUCUGAUUUUUCCGAUUUUACUCCGAUUUUGAUUCACUAACGAUUUUGAAACAUUGAUUCAACCAAAUUCAUCUCCGAUUCUCGAUCCAAUCGACUAAACCGGACGAUUCGAUCCAAUUUUUAAAACAUUACUAAUUUCUAAGACACUAGUACAAUAUAACCGACCCGAAAUGUACCUUCCUAAGCCUAGUGUUGUUAAGGACAAAAAAAUCCAAAGCAACCGAGUAAAAACUAUCUUUCAUAUGCCAGAACACAGAAGAAUCUAAAACUAGUCUCCAUCCAGCAUUUCCAAAACAUAGCCAAAUAUAUCAAGUGAAGAUUGCUAACACUCAAACCAACCAUUCUGCUCAGGCUUAUUGACAUCAGUCCAUCUAAUCCAAGACACUUUAGUCUCAAUCUUGACCCCUCCCCACAAAAAUUUAAUUAAAUCUUAACAAUAACCUUAUAGACGUUGACAGGGUUUUUAAGAAAAAAUAGAACACUGAUCAGGUCGAAUUAAGGGGAAUCACUUUCCAUCCCAAUCAAAAGACCAAGGUACUUCAAACGGAAAAACUCUUAAGUCCUAAUGAAAAAUAUAUUUUUUCAAAUCUAAAAAUCGGACUACAUUAACUUUAAUUCUACUUUUAGAAAAGUUAACAUUAAGCGAGGCAAGCUCGAAAAUCCGAAGAAUAAAAUACUAAAGGAUAAUUGUUUGGUAUCCUUAAAAAUAGAUAUUAUAUCUAUAAGAUAAAAUUAAUUUAGCAUUUAGACUUAUUUGAAAAUAAUAUAUAACAUGACAUUGUCGAAUGAUUAGAUAUUUGAUAUUACAUUCCAUCAAACUUUAAGACAUGAGCAUGCCCAUUAAAAAUAAAUGGUCCACUUUAUAAGUUGUUUUUUUUUUAAAUUAAUUAGAUAUUUAUUUUAUUUUUUCAAUAGAUAAUACUCAGAUUAUUUGGGUCAAUUUAGUAUGAAUUUUCUAAAAAUAGUUUAAAAGUGGAUCUCUCUCAAUUAUAAUAAAAAGAAUUUUAUAACAAAAAAAAUAUUUGUUUUAAUAAAAUAUGUUUAAAUUUAAUAUAAUUUAAAUUUAAACCGAAUUUAUAUUAGAUGCCAUCUAAUUACUUAUUACUUGUCACUUUAUAAAUAAAAAACCUUGCCAUUACUCUUUUUUCUAAUUCUUGUAUAUUAUUGAUAUUAUUUUUAUAAAACUAAACUACAUUUCUUAUCUAUAUAUUGUCACUGUAAAUUUUAUUUUAUAUUAAAUAUUUUCAAAUAUUAAUUUUAUUUUUAUUAUAAUUAUUUUUAAAGUCGUGUUCUUGAAUGAUUAUAACAACUAAAUUAUUUUAAAAAAUAAUUAACAAUUUAAAUUGGAAAUUGUUACUAAUUAAAAUGUUACAAGUUGUACCAUGCUAGUUGGUUCUGAAUGUGGCUGAUAUGAGUCCUUACUUUGGAUCUAUCUCUCUCUUCUUUUAUUGGUAGAAUCAACCGUUUACUGUUUUGUAUAGGAUGAGUUAGGUUUACAACUCAUUUACAUAGUUGCGUUUGAUUAAGAUAGGAGUAAACCUAACACACUAAAUGUUAAUCCUCGUAUUGAUGGAAUUCUGAUUAAUUUGAUGGGCGGGUGCGGCCGACAAAUAAGUAGUACAAUAGCAUAUAUUGCCACUAGCUUAGAUUUAAAACAUCAUGUUUCUCUUUAAUUGAGUGUACCAAUAUAUCAGUGUAUAGUUGGAAAGCAUUGUAUUUUUGACGAUUAAUUCUGAGUUACACAAUGAAAACUUUGGUAGAUGUUUGGGGCGGCCAGUUGGUCAAAUUAUCCGUCCUAAAACGUAUCCACUAAAAGGUUCAAUCCACUUAUAGAUAUUGGACUAUUUAUCGUUAGAUAUGAUCUAAUAUACUCUCAUGUUCCAUGCAAAGAAAUGUCGUGUGCUUCUAAUCAUCUCUCAUAUAUAAUAUAUUUCACACAAAUAUAUAUAUUAUAUUAUAUAUAUUAUAUAUAUUAAUAAUAUAUAUAUUAUAAUAUAUUAUAUAUAUAUAUAUACGAUUUUAACCAUAACUUACUCUAUUAUUUGGACUCAUUUAUUGACUUGAGUAUUGGAGUGUUAACCUUAUAGGUUCCUCCAUUUAUUUUGUCACAUGGAUAGUGUUUCGUUUCAGAACCAGAAAUUUGAAGUGUUGCGUAAGUUGUGAAAGAUGAGAACUUCUAGUGCGACAAAGAGGGAGUGUACCUGUAAGGUUAGCACUCUAACGCUGAAAUCAGUAUGUGAUUAAUGAUAGAGUAUUCAAAUUGUGUUUGAAACCUGUUACCUGAAAUGAUGUCAUUCCCGAAAUUAUCUAGCUAACUUUCAGGAGGAAAAAGCAAAAAAUUGUUGGAUCUACUUAAGACAUGGAUCUCCUGUAACUAGGUACAUGAUAUUCUAGUUGCAGGAGAAUGUUCCAGAAGUCGAUUGAGUGACUGACUGGUACAUUUGAACCUAGAGGUGUUUCGUCCCAGGAUGACCGGACCAACGGAGAAGUGGGUGGAUCGAGGGUGAUAUGCCCGACCCAAAACAGUUUCCCCCAAGAUUUACCGGGGCUCAUGGGGGACUGGGAAAUCUAUAGUAGCUUUGGUUGGUCAUAUUGAAGACUUUCCCUCGGUUACUUUGAAAAUUGAAAUGUUUUGAGUACUUCGUAGAAACAAUGAGUACAUUUAAUGUUUUCCUUGUCGCUGAUUCAUUAUUUCUCUUGCUUGCAAGCACGUCACCUUAGGCACAUUGUUUAAGAAUCAAUUACCCUAAUUAGGGAACUCAAGUGUUUCUCUAUUCUCGUGUGAGUUGAUGAGACAAAAAACGCAUUACUUUCGAGUCGCUUGAUUUGGACCGUUGACCCCCAUUUUUCAUUUUACUUUUAGAAUUUUGGGUGUUGCUCUCUAAUUCAUUUAUGCGUCUUUACCACAUACUCGUCUAUUUUCUUCAUAUCACCAUUCUCUUCUUCGUGAAUCCUCGAUCCUUGCUUGACCCACUAGUUUAAUGGCGGAGAUUGCGUGGAAGAUUAUUCUUAGGUUGAGCCGAAGUAUUUAACCCACCAAUUUGUUUUCGUUAUGGGGAAAGAAAUGUCAUUUGGUCCUUUAGAAAUAAGGGUUUCUUCAAAUUGGGAAAUCCUGCUGGUUCCAGCCAAAAAUAUAUUUCACCACAGUGAAGGGUGUUAUAUUCCUCUUUAUGCCUACAUUUUCAGGAUUCAGGUGUCCGUCUUCCGCUAAUUUCUUUUGAGAAAGAGGGUCUAUAUCACCUUUGCACUACCCUUCACAACGCCAUCCAUGUGUAUAGAGUUUCAUAUGGGUAUUCCAAUACUGGUAUGAAUACCAGGGUAAGACGAUUUUUCCUUCUCAAGAUAUCUUCUUUCAUUUUUUUGAAGUAUGUCCCGCCUUGGAAUGGUCGACUUCGGAUUGAGCGAUUCCCGAAGUGAUUUCCCCUUACUAGACUGCUCUCACAUGAUCAAGUUCCUCAACUGACUGCAUAUAGUUGGCAUUCCCUUGAUGUUAAGUGCUGACUUGCAGAUAAAAUUAUUCUUUUAAAAUGAUAAUUCUAAUGCAAUGCUCAUGCAAAAUUUGAAAUCAAAGUUAUUAUUGAGAUCAUGAUGGUGAAAUAUAGUGCAUGGGUCAACGAUAAGAACAUAAUGUUGAUUUAGACAUUCAAAUUAUGAAUAGUGAUGUGAGAGCAUGAUACUGAUACAUAUGAUAAACAAAUGUCUUUGGAGUCAGGUUAAGGCGACCUUUUUAUGAUUUCAAAAUAAACCUUGCUCCAAUUAGGUCUUUUGAAUGUUGUAACAAGGUUUGAUUCACAUUUUUUUAAAUAAAAGGAUAUAAGACUCAAAUUUUAAGUCUAACCCACCCGCUCUCCUUGAUGAUCUUCAAACCUACAUUUAGUUAAUUUGACACACGCGUUCAACUUCCAAUAGGGGUUUGAAGGUGAAAAUAUGAGGUUUUUUGUUUGAGGUGGCAGUCACCUACUUUUGUUUGAAAGUCACAAAAUUUUAUUUUUGUCAAGAAUUUUGGUGACCCUUUGAUUCUUAAUAUGGUGGUCACCUAAUAUUAUUUUUUGUUGAGGAUUUUGAUGACCUCUCUUUUUGUUUUUUAUCCCUAAUUUUUUCCUGGACGGCUUCUUUGAAGCUUUCAGUCCACUAGGAUGCAUAUAUUUUUUCUUAAGUCAUUUUUUCAAGUUUUGACUUAGCAUACUUCUCUUUCUCUUUUUUUGUUGAAAGAUUGUGACUUCCUGGUUAAUGGUUGGUGGGGAAUAACCACUAUAAAUAUUUUGGGUUUUCACGACUUCUUUGAUACUUUAUGAUGUGUAAAAAGAAGAGCAUGUGGUUGUACCUUUUAUUGGAAGGUGUAUAAAUGGAUUGAUUCUCUUGCAAUUUAAAUACACAGUCAAAUUAACUGAAAACUACCAUUCCCCUGGUUAAGAUUAAGAGUUUUUAGUUUCGAAAGAAACACCAACUUCUAGGCUCGAAGGGGUUAACUAGGGAUUAAAUCCUUAACUCCUUGGUGUUUGGUGGAUUUGAAAUAAUGCAUUACAUCAUCAAAAAAGUUCUAUUCAAAAUCACACCAUAGCAAUUUUGGGUAUUUCGUUUUCAUCAUUCUCCCUCCAAUAUUUGCUUAAACAAAAGUUUGAUAAAGAAAAUAGUGAGACGAAAAAAUGUUGAUGUUUCUUAUUUUUGUUUUUGCAUAAAAAUGAAGGAUUAAUUCAAAAGAUGCAUGAUCAUUUCAUUAAUUUUACCUUUCAUAACAAACAACUUUAAAAUAAAAUAAAUGCUUAACAUGCAAGGAAAUUACAAAUCCAAAAUGUUAAAUGAUCAACAACGUCGAGGAUGCGCUUUUCUGUCUGAACCACUGACUCUAGGAUGUGCUCCCUGAAGUCUUCAAACUCAUUCGAGCGAGGGGUUGUCGUUCAUCAACAAAUACCUUUAAAGGCCACACAUUUGCGAUCAAUCAAUUUCUUCACUUUGGCCUUAAAUUCCCUGCAGUCCUCAAUCGAGUUCCCAUUGAUCUGACAUAAUAUUCGCAUUGCACAUCGGGAUCAUACCCAAGUGGGCAAGAUUGUGGAACCGGCUUAAGAGAUCUGGGAACCACCAGCGUGCUUUGAAUCAGACAUGGUAGUCAUUGACUAUAUGUCAUAGGAAUUUGGUUUAGGGGCGCAAUCAUUCUUUCCAAGUUAUUUUGUGAAUUGACUUGUCCAUGACUUGUGUUUAGAUACCCCCAACCCUGGGUUUUCCUAUUUGAAUGAGGACUAGUCCAUGGCUGCUGGUAUGGCACUCUGGGGAUUGUUGGUUUCCCAUAAGGAGUUUGUGUUGCCACUGCCGGUGCACUGUGACUGUAUUAGUUUCACCCUCUUACUUCUUCUUGAAGUUGGUAUGGGAUUCCUUCUCACUAGUCCGGCUACUCGAGGCGUCUUGGAUUUUUUCGCUUUUGAGGCCGCUCUCGAUGCAUCCCCCCACCAUCACCAAGUCAUAGAAACUUGAUGAUACACUCCCUAUAAUUUUCUCAAAAUAAGAUCCUUGUAGAGUAUCCAUGAACACGUCGACAACUCCCUCUCUAAAAUUGGCGGUUACACUCAAACUGCCAAUUCCUUCCACCGUUGUAUAUAUUCCUUGAAUGAUUUGUUGCUCUUUUGAGAUAAGUUUUGUAGUUGCAUGGGGGCCAUGGCGAUAUUGUACUUGUAUUGCUUUAGAAAGGAAUAAACUAGGUCCAUCCAUAUUGAAUACGACUCCUUUCUAACUCCAUGUACCAGCUCCACGAUUUUCCACUCAAACUAUGUUUUAAAAUAGUGAAUCAUCAGCUUAUCGUUACGGGUAUAUGAGGCCAUUUUUUGGCUGAAUCAUCAGCCUUGGGCAUCUAAGACCCACGCACUUCUCGAAUUCAGAUAUUUUGAAUAUCGAGGGUAUAACCAUGUUCAGCACCAAGCACAGGUCAAGAGCAUUCAUACCAAAAUCAUCAUGCUCUUUGAUCUGUUGUCGCACACGGGUCAAAAAUGAGUAAUUAAGAACGGUAGUCUAGGGAAGCGAAACUCGAGUAUCGUAUCGCAAGGACUCUUGAUAAAUUAGCCAAAUAAUAAAAAUAAAUAGGGGUUUUGAUUCGAUUAAGAAUAAGUGAUUAUAAAAAGUGAUUAUGAAAUAAGCUGAUCUACUGGUUUGGUUUCCUAACUUAUCAUUGGUUAACACAAUUUUUAUGCCCUAAGUGGAUACUAAUCCUUUUUUGAUUAUAGUAACAAUAACAAGUGCAUUAAUACUAAUAUAUGAUAUGUGUUUCUAAUUUCUGAAAUAAUUAAACAGAUUAUGAAUUAAGAAAACGGGUUAAGCACACGCGAGUUAAGAAAACGCGAUUAUGGAACAUAUAUCAAUCAAAAUUAAUCAACACAUAUUCUAUAGAACUUGAAUAAAGCAUACAAGACAUAGAACAAAAUAUUAAAAGGAAAAGGACAUUUGAUAGAAAAUUAGGAAACCUCAAAGUAUCGGUGGAAACUGAUUACAACAGAUCAACCUUGUGAACUUUAGUUCUCCAUGAAAUCUUCUAAGUAAUAUUGUAUCAUAUAAAUUCAGAAUAGGAUUCCUGUAUUGGUGAAAUACCUAAUAUAAUAAAAGGGAAAUUCGGGCUCUUAUGGGAUUCAACCCGAAAAUUACAAAAAUUGGCUCAAACUAACUAUUUUAAUUAAGUUUGGAACUUCAACGAAUUAUUUUAUCCUUUUUAAUCCCGAAUAUGCUUUUAACUUCAACAUGAAACUCGUAGUUCUUUCUCUUAGCUUUCCAACGCAUAUUAGAAUUCGUCAAUCCGACUCCUAUAGCUCAAGUUAUGAUAUGUAUAGUGAUAAGGUAUCAAAUAACUGCUUAUGCUGAAAAUAAAGUACGAAAAUAAAAUAAAGUCAAAAAUAAACAUAAAUAUAAAAGUACACUAAAAUAGUAAAAAUAAUAGAAUAAAUUGUAGAGUUGUCUAAGUAGAAUAGUAGAAAAAUAUGCAUCAAAAUGCACUGAUCACUCUUCUAUGGCUUUAAGUCUUUCAUCCAACACACAAUAUCUUCCAGCAGCCUCAACAUCAUGUGGUCCUUUGGUAUUCACCAUCGGGCUUUCCCCUCGAGGAUUUUGCAUAGAUAAUGUAAACUUAUGAUACUCAACAGAAUUAUGAGGUUAGGUAUUCCCAUCUUGGAAAGUGGGAUGCUCUCGUAUAGUAGGGUCCUCAACUGGGAUCCAAAUAGGUGGAGGUGGAGUAAGGUCGUUUACUUGAGGUGGAAUGACGUUCUCAAUAACUAUAUUUUGUUGAAUGUCGUCCUCUCUCUUAGCCAAAGAUAACAUGACCUCCAUAAUUUGGUCCAACUUGUUUUUUAUCAAGUUAACAUCUUCUCUUAAUGCAACUUGGUUUUGUUCCAACUGGUUCAUGAUCCUUUGAGAGUUGCUUCGAGUAUGAUAUGGGUGUCGACGAAUCAGCUUGCAGGUUAUGGACAAGGUCUAGAAUCAGUUUUUUGAUGUUGAAAAAUGAUAAGCAGGUUGAUGAAAUGUGAAUUCAUGAAUUUUUAUUUUUUUAUAUGUGUAGCGGUGUAUUCGUCGCUAUAUGAUUUAUUGAUUAAAUCACAAGCAAUGUAUACAGUGAAUAUAGAGUCGCCACCGCACUUUUAUUUAUCCUAAGGACUGGUUAAAAAGCGAACAAAAACCUAAGAAGUUUUAACACGUAGAAGACUAAUGAAAAGAUCAGAGAAUUGGAUAAGGGGUAAAUUACGCAAUGGAAGGUGUUAGGCACCCAUCACGUCCAAUAGGUACUCCUAGGAGCCCUUUUCACACUUUGUUGUUUGAAAAAUUAUUAUUUGUCAUGACAUAAGUAUUGUGCAAACAUGAUUGGGAUAAUGAGGAAAGAAUGUACAAUUAAUUAUUUUGUGUUUGAUGAUAACCAUUGCCUACGUACCUUUACAGGAUCAAAACCUCGUGUUCGGCUAAAAACUUCCAAAAGUUAGUGGAUUCAAUUUUAAAACACAAGCUCAAAGGUCUUACGUUCCCACGGGAGAAAACUCAACCUUAAGAAAACAACAAGUCCACCAUGUGGAAAAGCUUCAACUUGCUAGAGAGGGGUAACCCUAUAAUAAGCAAGGAAGACUUACAAUAUCAAUCAACUAAGGACAAAUAGGUGAGAUAAUAUCAACCAACUAGGGUAAAUCAAACUAUAGCUAAUGUAUGAAAACUUAACAAAACAUGGACAAAGCCAACAAAUCAUUUGAUGGGUGAAGUUUUUUUGGAUUAUUUACAAAAAGUUCAAAGUAUGAUUAAAGUCAAUUCAAAAAUGAAGUAUUUACAAAAAUGAAGUUUGGAAAAUCAUGGACUUAAGGUCCAAGUUUCUAAUUGGAAAAGAGGUGAGAAUGUUGCACAACACUUAUUUCAAGUUUUUUAAAGUAUGGUGUGAAAAGGUAGGACACAUGGGAUGAAGGAAUGGUGGAGUGAAUGUAAAACUUCUUAGGAGGGUCCACCUCUUGAAAUCAUUAUAGAAGAUGAUUCAAGUGGGUCCUUAGGAAUAGCUACAAAUGAGGCAAUAAUUGACUGGUAACAGAUGAAAGUCAAUAAGCGGAUACUGGAUGCCACUCAAUGGUCUUAUACCUAUCUCCUAAAACAGUAACGGAUAUCAGAGGCCACUCUAUGGGACUUACACUAAUUCAUCCAUCAGAUAUAAAAACAAAAACAAAACCAGGGAAAUCAACUGCCAAUCCAUCUGGACUAUGUUACCUCCACAGUAUGAUCCUGGAAUACAAAUGCCACAUCACAGGGGACUUACAAUGAAUCCUCACAUACAACAACAAUGCUCAAACAAAGAGCAAAGAAGAUAUGAGUGACCAAUGAGGUCUUACACUCUAUCUCUUCCAUGUCAUAGGAACAAACCAAUCAAUAUGGACUUACAAUUGUCCUCAGGGAAAACAUCAAUGUCACAAGGACAAAAGAACUGAUCAUGGCACUGAUGGCAAACAAAGAUGAUAAUGCACAACGGCAAUCAAUGAUAGUAAACGCCAAGGCAAUCAAGUAAUCAUGUAUAAAUGAAUCAAGUAAUCAUCACAUAAAUUCAAGUAGCACACACUAUAACCAUUCAAUGAGGCUCAAGCAAAGGUUUGAUACUAUGAAAGUCCACUGUAAGAGGUAAGUGUCGCUCUUAACCUUGCCAUUGAGGGGGCUAAGGUGAAGCAGAUAAAGGAAUGAGGGGUGUGCCUCAUUGCUCUAUCUCAGGUCCGAGAGAGCAUGUAAAUAUAAGAAUGUGGGAGUUCAAAACAAGAUGGGACUCUUCCCCGAUUGAAGACUCUAUAGACUUGGGUUUGGAUCUCAAUGCACAACCAGGUAAUGGGAGCAAGGAGAAAGCUCACAGAUAGUGGGAGAUAGGCACAUAUCUCUUAUAUCACCAAUUGCCUCUAAUGAGGACCUUUUCCUGCUUGGACAAACAUAAACAAUCACAAACAUGCCUCUUAAGGAGGACUUCAGACAGUUUUGCCCCGGCCAAAUAACAGGCCGGGUCUCCAGAACUACAUGAAGAAAGGGAGUCUACCUCAAUGCAAAUUGCUAUUUAAGCAAAGCAAUGCAAUUCUUAGAGAACUGAGCAACUAGGGGUACCUGAAAUCGUCAAAUUAAUCAGCCAUCCAACAUAAACAAAACAACAACAAUAAGAAUCAAUCAAAAAUCAACAAUGAUGUGCAUAGCACCAAGUCCAUGUGAACCAAGCACCCUACAAACAAACAAAUUAGUAUACAAUGAUCAAAGUAAACAACUCAAUUAUGAAUCACCUCCUUAAGGCAUUAGCUUUUUAACCUGAAAAAGUCAAAGUCAAGCUCAAACAUAAUAACAAACCACUAGGACAAGCCUAGGUCCAAAGGGAGGGAAAAAUCUUAAAAACAGCACGUAAGACAUGAUCAAAGUCAACAUUAAUCCCAUACAAAGAUAAUCAACUUGGUCUCGAUGUCUAAACAAUACACCAAAUUGAUUUCAUGUACCAUCUAAGUCACUAGGUAGUAAGAAUCACAUAUGCACAAGCAGAAUAAUUUCAAUUAAACCCAAACAAAGCAACUCAAUAAAUCUCACAAAAAAUUCAUAUCUAACCAGAACCUAUUCAGUGAGCUUACAUAUCAAUUUUCAUACCAUUUGAUAAAGGAACUCUUGGAAAUUAAAUCAACAUGUUAAGGCAUGCAAAAACACAACCACAUUAGAUACAAAUCACAUGUCAACUUAACAAAUUGUAAAACAGUGAUUAUCACAUGGGAAAUUAAUGGACCAAAGCCAAAGUGAAGCUUAAUAUGUCAGAAAACAACGGCUANUCUUGGGUUUGGAUCUCAAUGCUACAACCAUGUAAUGGGAGCAAGGAGAAGACUCACAGAAUAGUGGGAGAUAGGCUACAUAUCUCUUAUAUCCACCAAUUGCCUCUAAUGAGGACUUUUCCUGCUUGGGACAAACAUAAACAAUCACAAACAUUGCCUCUUAAGGAGGACUUCAGACAGUUUGCCCGGCCAAAUAACAGGCCGGGUCUCCAGACUACAUGAAGAAUAGGGAGUCUACCUCAAUGCAAAUUGCUAUUUAAGCAAAGCAAUGCAAGUUCUUAAGAGAACUGAGCAACUAGGGGUACCUGAAAUCAGUCAAAUAUAAUCAGCAUCCCAACAUAAACAAAACAACAACAAUAAGAAUCAAUCAACAAUCAAACAAUGAUGUGCAUAGCACCAAGUCCAUGUGAACCAAGCACCCUACAACACAAACAAAUUAGUAUACAAUGAUCAAAGUAAACAACUCAAUUAUGAAUCAACCUCCUUAAGGCAUUAGCUUUUUAACCUGAAAAGUCAAAGUCAAGCUCAAACAUAAGUAACAAGACCACUAGGACAAGCCUAGGGUCCAAAGGAGGGAAAAAUCUUAAAACAGCACGUAAGACAUGAUCAAAGUCAACAUUAAUCCCAUACAAAGAUAAUCCAAUUGGUCUCAUGUCUAAACCAUACACCAAAUUGAUUUCAUGUACCAUCUAAGUCAAACUAGGUAAGUAAGAAUCACAUAUGCACAAGCAGAAUAAUUUCAAUUAAACCCAAACCAAAGCAACUCAAUAAAUCUCACAAAAAUUCAUAUCUAACCAGAACCUAUUCAGUGAGCUACAUAUCAAUUUUCAUACCAUUUGGAUAAAAGGAACUCUGGAAAUUAAAUCAACAUGUUAAGGCAUGCAAAAACACAACCACAUUAGAUCACAAAUCACAUGUCAACUUUAACAAAUUGUAAAACAGUGAUAUCACAUGGGAAAUUAAUGGGACCAAAGCCAAAGUGAAGCUUAAUAUGUCAGGAAACACUCCACUAAAUUUCACAUUCAUAGGAUGAGGGAUGAGCAUUUAAUGACACAUGUGAAGUUUGUUACACAAGAAACAACCCAAAGAUGCUAAACAGCAAUCAAAAAUCCACAUUAAUUAGAAAAUGGAUCAAUUAUAUUUGCAAAAAUUCAUGUUGAAAGUUAACAUACACAUUGUCUCUCAUGCAAAAAAUCAGAGCCAUAGGCCUAAUGGAAGCAUGGUAAAUUAAUUCAUGAACUCAGCAUAUCAUAAUGUGACACAUUUUGUCACAUUCAAAAAGAAAAAAUCAUUUCUAGCAAUCCAGAGAUCCAAAAAUCACAAAUGAUAUACCAAAAUCUCCAGAAAUGUAUCAAGAAUCACCAUAUGAAAUUUCAAGAAUUUUGGAUAAUGUAUGAGAAUUUCACAUCAAAAAUGGCAAAAUGUGCACAAAUAUACCACAAGCCAAACAACCCUAGGUCAAACCAAUUUUUCACCAUGCACAACUUCAAAAAAUAUGUCCAUAAAAUUCUACAGGGAAUUUGGAAACCAUAGAAAAAAUCCUCAUAUUUUUCUGACUUUUAAAUUAUUUUUUAUGAAUUUUUUAAGAUGUUGGUGAUUUUUAAAUAAUUAUUUAGAAUUAAUAUUAAUUAAUUAAAUCUUCAAUGGCAGAGUGGUAAUUAACGUGCGCCAGGAUGAAACGCGGCCGUUUCAUUAAAAGCCGUGGCGUCUCGUGAUUGGCUCGGCGCGGCGGGAAACGCGUUUUCAAAUUGGCCAGGCGCGGAAGAGGAUCAAACCAAAGAAAAUUCCAGAAAAUCAUCGUCUUCCUCAACAUAUUUUCCAGAACAUCAAGAACACGAAGAACUACAAAACCUAACCAAAAUUCACAAACUCAUAUCCGUUGGAAAGGUCCUAAUGCGUAGAUCUCAAAUAUGCAAACGAUUUCAACCAAUUCUUCCUAAACAUUCCGGAUCGAGCGUUUUAAGUUUUUGCAUCGUUUCUUCUAAUCAACCUAACUCGAGCCACAGUUCACUAUUUCUAAAACCAAAGGUAUCGCGAUGAUCUACAUGAAACAUUCUAUAAAACGCACUUAAACAUUAAGGCAACGGUGUGUUUCGAUUUCUGACCUUGAUUUGUAGGCAGUGUCGAAACUGGAGAUUCCAAGGCGUUUUGAUGCGAAACAGAUGCGGUAGAAGCUCCAAGAAGUUGAAUGAUAUGAUCAGGUUCGAGUGAAUCCGCUUCUAAUGCACGAAAUCUUGAUUCACCAUAAUCGAGCUUCACUUGGACAGUUGGAGUUCUUGCUCGAUUUUCUUCUCAAUCUCUGCAAACAGUAAUUACACAAGACCUGUAGAUGAUGAAUUAACCAUGAAAUCGCACAAAGAUUAGUAAAAAUUGAUGAAUUGAUGCAAAAAGUUCUUGGUGAAAAAUGGAAAAAAUGAGAGACAUUGGGAGUUUUUGCUUUUGGAUCUGUGAUUGAUAUUCCAGUGUUGUUGAGUUUCUGCUUACACAUUAGGCUUAGUUAUAGGUUUGCUUUAACUCCAAUUCCUUAAUCAAGCAUUAGCCAAAAAAUGGGUGUAUUAGCAAAUGAGCUUAUGUGUGUAUUUGGCAUUUUUUGGCCCUUGGAUGCUAUGACAAUGGUACAGUAUGUUUCUCACGUUGAACAAGCCAGAUUCUCAUUUAGGAGCUUAAUGAUUGGUCCAUGUCCAUUGAUAGUACAUUCUCAAUUUCACUAUGUCAUUGGCACUUUUGUUCAUUUUUCAAGUUCAUUUUUCAAAGCCAAUUUCAAAACCAUGAAAGCCUGUAGCAUCGUUAUGAACAUUCCAACAAGUUUCCAAUGCCUUUAUGAAGUAGUUGCAAAUCUCCACUCAAAAAUUCCAAUUAUUUCCACAAGUUGGCACUUUGCCCCUUGGUUCUUUUAACUGUACAGUGAAUUUGCUUUUUGCAUUUGACCUUUUUUGAGAAUCAAUUAAUGCACAUAAAGUAAUGUCAAAUGGGUUUGUGCAUAUAAAGAACAUCCAAUUGUGGACAUCCAUGUGGAAUGUUAUCUGCCCUUCUGAUUAUGGGUCAUGUUUUGAAUUCACUGACCAUAAACUUGACAACCAUCAUGGAUUUUCAUUCUUGGACUUUUGAAUGACGUGAAGACAAGAUUCUUCACUUUCAUGUUGGACAAAUUUUGAAUUUGAAGCUUGUAUCAUGAAGUUAAACUUUGCAGAGCAAAUUUCCCAUUUUUGGGCAGGUGAGAUUACAAGUCAUUCCCAUUUUUGGGAAACUGCUUUGUCUGAGCUUCGAAGUUCCCUGUACGCUGAUCUUUAAAAAUGCCUAAAUGAGCUCUAUAUAGGACAUAAAUAGCUUCUUUCUAACCAUGCUCACACCCUCCAAUCCCUGAUUAAAUGCCAGUUGACCACAGUUUCUGACUUUUUGUUGACUGGGGCAAGUUUGCUGAUGAAAUUCCAAGCCUCAUUUCACAUGGGAUCUUGGUUUCCAAUGUAUAGCAAGGUUAUUGAACUCUUGUACUGAGAAGUGAUCUAGGAUGUCCAACGAUUCUCAAGAACUGACCACCAUCUAUAACUCCAAGUAGCCUGAUAAUUGACUGAUUGAGGCUUGAUGAGUUGCUCGAUCGUGCAAGCAAUCAUGGUUAGAUGACAAUAUUUUGUAGCUUUUGGUUUAGUAAACAUGAUGAAGAAGCAAUGAUUAUACAAUGCAAUACAUGGCUUGGUGAUCAGGAACCACACUCACAAGGUAACCCACCCAUUAGGAGGGAAGCUAGGGUAUGCAAUGAUCCUUGAGGCCAUGAUAUGAUAUGAUAUGGGCCAUGAGGGAUCUUAGGGCCAAAAUUGGGGUCUUACAAUAUGCAAGGAAAAUCCAAUUCCAUAUUAUGCAUGUUUUUGGUUUGUGAGCGAUAUGGUUCCAAACGAUUUGGGUACAGAUUUAUCAUGACAUAACGAUUUUGACUGCUUUUCACACAAUGGUCACACCAGGGGUGGCUCUAGGGUUAAAUAAGGUUCCUAAGGUCAUGGAUCCUUCUUAAGAAUAUUGUCAUCAAUAGCAAAUUACUUGUUAGCCAACAAUAUUCCCGAGAGGGUCUACCUUAGGUGAGGUUUUCAUGCCAACCCAAUGAGACAAGUAAGUCAAGCAAGCCAACACUAUGUAACCAUCAAUUAUUAGGUUCUAUGGAUCCUUCUCAGAAAUAUUUCCCUCAAUAGAAAAUUACUUGCUAACUAGCAAAUACUUCUUAUAGAAUCUCUUUUGAGCGAGACUUUCAUGCCAACCCAACGAAACAGGUACGUCAAAAAGGUCUAUACUAUGCAACUAUCGAUCUUAAUAGCCAUGAGUUUAAGGUUCUAAUAAAGUUCUUAGAGUCAUGGACCCUACCUGAGAAUAUUGUCAUCAACAACAAAUUACUUGCUAGCCAACAAUAUUCCCAAGAGGACCUACUAUAAGUGAGGUUUUCAAGCAAACCCAACGAGUCAAGUAUGUCAAGCAAGUAAACAUUACGCAACCAUUCUCCUAUAUUAUGUUAAUUUUCUCAAGAUUUAGGUGUAGCGCCUUUCUUUCAAUGUGUUCAAGCAAUCAGAGUACCCAUCACAAAAUACGAUAACCAUACAAUAGGUAGGUAAACAAUAACAACAUAAAAAAAGGUGAGAGAAUAAAAGAUGGUAGAAGAAAUCAAAAUAAAAAAUCUAUCAUUCAUCACAAAGCUAACUAAAUUAGACUUGACUCUCUUGAUAGUCCCUGUAAGACCCUAAUUUUGACCCUAAGAUCCCUCAUGGCAUCAUAUCAUUGCUCAUUGCAUUGCCUCAAGGAUCAUAACAUGUGUGGCUCCUUAACCCUAGGGGUUGGGACUUGUGUGAGUUGGUUUGAGACAACCAAGCAUGCUUGAAUUGUAUAAUAUUUGCUUUUCUUAAUUUUUUUUACUAACCAAAAGCACAAAAAUAUGUCACUAACUCUUUUUGUUUUGAAGCUCAAGUGAUCAUGUACUCCCAUGCUCCUAGGAGGCUCCUAAGCUCAUUGAAGUGGCUAGAUGAAGAUGAGAAAAAAUAUGUCACUAACUCUUUUUGUUUUGAAGCUCAAGUGAUCAUGUACUCCCAUGCUCCUAGGAGGCUCCUAAGCUCAUUGAAGUGGCUAGAUGAAGAUGAGAAAAAGCAUGACAAUGGUCCACAAAGUUCUUAAUCAUCAUAUAUGUCUCCCAAGUAUCUCAAUUUGCCAAUUUUAUCAAGAUAACCCAAAGGGCUUGAGGAUUGUUUCCCAAGGAAACCCUAGUUCAACUGUGCAUUGACUGUGCCUUGCUCAUGAAGCAACCUCAACCUAUGAUCAAAUUUAAUCAAGGGAAGUUAUUUCAUUCAUUAUUUUAUGCAUAUAUGAGCCUAUGUGAAUAUCCUAAAUCACUCAUUCAUCAUGAUUUGAAGUUUGGCCUUGAGAAGUUGACCAGUCAAAUCAUCUAACUAAACCGAGGAUCAUUGAAACACAACUUGUGAUGUGUUUGUCAAAUGAAGAUGACCCCAAGAGAAACAUUAUUUCUAAGAACCAUAUGAAAAACUUUUAUGUUCAUCCAAAAUCCAUUUGAAACUUGGAAGGUCAUCAUUAAUUUCAAAACAUUAUAGGUCAUUUUGAUUGAAACCCUAAUUUUGGAUCAACUUCCCAAAGACCUAACUUCUUUAAUUUUUAUGAUUUUGAGGUGAGACCAAAUGCAUUGGAAAUAUUAAUAUAUCUAAUUAAAUUGUUAUGUUGGACAAAAGUUCAUAAUCCUAAAACAAACACAUGUGAUAAUGCAAAACAUUAUAGGUCACUUUGGACCUAAGUCAUUGAAUUUGAAAAAUGUCCAACUUCAAGUGCCCAUAACUUUCUCAUUAAAAAUCCAAAUGAUGAAAACCUUAAGUCUAAAUUGAUCACCUUGAAAAUAUCUACAACUUUGAUGUUGGAGGUGUUCCAUUUGAGGCUUGAAUAAUUGAAAUAUAAGGGUUUGAAGUUGUUUGGUUUUGGCAAAAAAAUUCAAAGGAAACCUAGACAUGUUUUGUACCCCAAACUUCACAGCCAGUUUUCAUAAAUUUCCAAACUCUAAAUAGAUUUUUUCCCAAAAUAAAUUUUGUUCCUUAUUCCAAGAGAUUUCCAACCAUUACUCAGAUGACCAUUUUCGGAUUUUUAAUGUGGGAGUUUCGAAGGGCUUAAUGCUUAUGUUCAUUUAUGCAAUUCACUUUGAAACUUCAUGUGCAAGCAAAUGCAGCUCCAAUUACACGUCCAAUUCACUUGCAUAUGAGUUCAAAAUGGAUUCCCAUUCACUUUUGGGCCUCACAUGCGCCUGUACAGGCCCAUGCAUGGAGGAUCCAAAAUUCAUGCACACGAGGGAAAGCAAGCAUUGCAUCAAGUUCAGCUAUAAAUAGAAGUUCCUUGAGCUUCAUUCCACAACCUGAAGGAGAUCUGAAACGCUGCUGGAUUGAAAACCAAACCCUCACUCAAAGGAAUUUCAAUUUUCAUUUUCAAUUUCAAGCUUGAAUUUCAACAUCAUUAGUUGAUCUUCAAGUCUUAAUUCCUUAGCCUUGCAUCAUCAUUACACUUCCAAAACAAGAUUGGAUCAAAAGCUUGAAGAACUCGUGUUGUUUGAAGCUGCAUUUCAGAGGUAGAACCUCAAUUUUUCUUGAUCUAGAUCUUGCUAUAUGAUGUGAAUUCCUUGAGUUUUUGUUGUUUUCUGAAGUCCUCAAGCAUGAGGCAGGCCGGUGGUGGUCUCAAUUUUACAAAUCGUGCCAUUUCAGAUCAAACAUCAUGAUCUUCAAGCUCAUGUUUCUCCUUAAAUAGGAACAUUGAGGAGAAUCCAUGGUUACAGGGGUGAUGUACAUCACCCCAACUUCAUUUUGAUACCUUGCUUUUUCAUUUUCAUUGAAGUUGAAAUCCCUGCACGUGGUGGCCGUAAUCAGUUGGAUGGCCGGAGAAGAUGGUGUUUUCCAUCACCAAACCCAUGUGGGAGCCUCUCAUCCCUUGGAUCUCUCUCAAAUGUUUUAAUCAUGGCCUUGCAUUGUUAUGACUUGUUUUAAUUCAAAAUGUUGCGCGCUUGAGUUUGGAUCAUGGUGUGUCUGCGCCUCUGAGCCUUAGGAUCAAUGCCACGUCAAUUAAUGAAAAGAUCCAAUGGCAGCGCAUUUUUGUUAUUUUCUGAUUUUUGUUUUAAUUUCAUUUAAUUCCUUUUAUUUUCAAAAAUUCAUAAAUAUUUUAUUUGAAGUCACAAAAAAAAUGAAAAGAUCCAAUGGCAGCGCAUUUUUGUUAUUUUCUGAUUUUUGUUUUAAUUUCAUUUAAUUCCUUUUAUUUUCAAAAAUUCAUAAAUAUUUUAUUUGAAGUCACAAAAAUAUGAGACCAAUGUCAAUUUUUUUUUUGAAAAAUCUAGUUUCAUAUUUUGAUUUUUAAUUAUUUUUGUGACUUCAUUUAAUAUUUUUUGUGAAUUAUUUGGUUUUUAUUAGUUUUAAUUCAUUUUAAAAUACUUUUUGACAUCUCAAAAAUCCAAAAAUAUUUUCUAAACACAUAUGAUCAUGAUAAGUCAAUGAAAAAUGGUCUCAUCAAUUUCUUAAUUGAUUUGAAUUGAAUUUGAGGUUUGACCAUAUUUUGUCGAUUUUAAUUUUACAUUUAUUUUUAAUUCAAAAAUACCAAAAAAAAUAUGUUUGACUUAUUGACUUCUAAUCUUCAUUUCUCUUCUGUUUAGCUUUGGUUGAUGAUGAUUUGAUUCACAUUUGACCAAUUGUGUUUGACACUUGAAUUCUUUCUCCAUUCAUUUCAUCUCCAUCUCAUUUUCUUUUUAUUUUGGCCAAUGAGUUAAUGUCUUAUGGUUGGUCUUGACAUAUGAGAGGUUUAACCUUCUUUGAUCUAAAUCAAACUCAACUUGAUCCAUGAUCAAGUGAGUUACUUUGUGUCCAAGAUAGGUUGCUUCUUGGUCAAGCAAAAAAACCUAAAGUCCAUACAAGGUCUUUCUUCUUUUCUUUUGGCAUGGCAAGUUGUAGGAGCUUGGCUUACUAGUCAUGAUCUCUACCUUGUGUUUAUUUGCCUAUAGUUUUAUUGACCGGCCUCAGAUAGGUGCGCCUACUACUUUAGUCCACUUACGAUUGCUUAACAUAGCGCUACAUUGUCUUAUGACAAACUAAUAUAACUAUACUAACUACUAACUUUAAUUUGAGCAUUUAAUUUCUUGCAAUUUACUUUAACGCAAUUUACUUCUUGCUCAUUUAUUCACAUUGCCUUUUCAUUUUGCUCACUUGAACACAUAUUUUAUGUUUAUGUUAUUUUCCUUUUUUCUCAUUUGAGCUCAUUAUUGUAAAUAAAUAUAUUAUUGUAUUGUGUUUGUUUUGUCUUUGUGUGAACCUAAUGCAAAAGGAGAAAGGACUUAGAAUUAGGACUUACCUAUGCUUAAAGGAGUUCAAGAGCAACUAGGCCUCAUGCCUUUAGAAUGCUAAAUUUCAAAGUUGACUUCAAAGGACUUCCUUUACAAAACUCAUUCUUUGUCCAUUCUUCUUAUUGUGUUGUGAACUUUUUGAUGUUUGUUCUUGUGUGAUAGGGAUUCCUUCUUGAGAUAGUAAGAAGGACCAUUGUCAUGAGUAGCCAAGUUAAGAGAGACAAGCCAAAAGGAGAUCCUAGGAUCUUGAAUCUAUAAUUGUGUGAUUGCUUGUUGUGUGCUAAGUCCAAAGGAAAGGAGCAUCUUGAAUCAUCUCUAUGAUUUCAAGAGAAGGAACUCCAAGGGUUUGAUCCUCUCUCUUUAUCUUUGUACGCCUUAGGAAUAUCUCUUCUCUUCUUCUCUCCACUCUAACCCAAGCCAAACUCUUUUUGUGCAAACUUUGACAUUGUUUUCAAAUUAGAAACCUAGGCCUUAUGCCUUUGACUUUUCAAAUCUUUUCAUUUUAUGAGUAACACUUAUUUGGAAUUAGGUUGAAAUUGGAGUAUUUGUAAAUAAACUUAACUUGUAAAUACAACUCACUUCAAGUUGUUUUUGUGGUUCCAAUGGCCACCUUUGUUAAAACUUUUCACAAACAUUACUCAUAGGUUUGAGUUAUCAUAGUGGUUGAUGUAAAUCUCACCUCAUCCUUAGUGAUUGGACUAUAAGUCUUCCAUACUUAUUAUAGAGUUAACCCCCCACUAGUAUGUUGAAGCUCUCCUCACAUGGUGGAUUGUUGGUUUAGGUUGAGUUUUCUCCCUUUGAUAACAAAAGACCUUAAGACUUUUGAUCAAAUCAAUUCACCAAUCUUUGUGAGUUUUACCCCGAACUACGAGGUUUUGAUCCUACCUUUGUGAUGGUACGUAGGAAAUGGGUUCAUCCAUUCAAACAACAAAAUUGUAAAUAUAAUUUAUUCUCUCCUCAUCCCCCCAAUCUGUUUCACAUAUUUUCACAAAUACCAACCUACAACACAUAUUUAUAAAAAGAAGUUCCCUUAGAGUACUAAAGAUGUUUUGGGCGCGUAAAACCUUACCAUUUCAUAACCAACCCCCUUACCUAGAUCUCUGACAUUUUUAUUAGUUUUUUAUUUGAUAAAACUUCUUAUUGGGCUUUUGUUCGCUUUUUAGCCUUUCCUUUGGAUAAAUAAAAGUGCGGUGGCGACUCGAAUUGUAUGUUUACUUUUGGUUUAGUCAAUAAACCAUAAGGUAACGAAUACCCCGCUACAGAAAAGUGGCGACUCUGCUGGGGAAGCUGAUAACUUCCUAGCGGGUUUAGCCUACUUUUUGCUUGUAUGUGCUGUAUGAUUAUAUUUAUUUUGUGACAUAUUUUUGUGCAAAUUUGGGAUGACUGUAUUGUUUGUAAUGUAUGAAUUGUUUGAUAUACUAAUUGCUUGUGUGCUUGGUGGUUUCUUGUGAGAUGAGUUCCAUACCCGAACUCGAGUGCACUUAUGAUAGGAGAAUGGCAUAGUCCGUUUGACUUGUGUAGAGUUAUUCCUUAGCAAGUUGACUUGCAAGCCCAUUCACUUGGUGUAGGUCUUGUUGGGAUCAAUAAUGUCACACGAGUAGUCAUGGUUACACAUUACUCUUUCCAAUAUAAACCUUAGAAGCCAAGGACCUUAGAUACCUAGCCCAUCUUUGCCUAUUUUAGGACGCAGUGCGAAGGUCAUUCAAGUGUAAGACUUGAGGCGAUUGUUACGCGAUAAUACACUCAUAAGAGUCCCUCUUGAGAAUAUUUUUGGAAUACGAGUAGUCAUUUUAUCCGAUAAUAUCCGAAAGAUGAGAUGAUGACUAUGGGAACCUUUGUUAGAACAUGAUUGUCAGGUUUAACCAUAGUACACUCCCUUUGGGUGGUACUUAACCGAGACUCCAUGCUCGUGACUUACAACAAACCCUUGAUUCACGGUUGAUCCGUUCUCGUAUAUUCUCAAUAUUAAUGGAACUUAGGUGUUGAUAAGGUGUAAACAAUAAUCCACCAAAAUGGAUGAUUGAUAUUGACGGUGACAUGAGACAUCCCGUGACCUUUGUAUGGUGUGACUUGCUUGAUCCUUGAGUGUGAUUGUUGCAUCCAUGCAUUCAUGCAUUUAUAUGCAUCCAUAUCAUCAACAAUAAAGAAUUUCAAGGAACUUAAGAGGUCUAUUUGCAAAUUUUCAGACAUGGAUAAGCAAAGAAGGAAUACGAAGAAGUACUGUUUUAGACAACCCGACUUGAAAGAGUUAAGGAGUUUGACAUCUUAUGUAUUAGAGCCUUUGGAGUUCAAAGCUCGCCAUGGGAAGCUCUUGUAUAUUCUUUCUACCCAGGUGGAUGAAGGUCUGAUGAGUGUGUUGGUGCAGUUCUACGAUCCCUUGUAUCGGUGCUUCACUUUUCCGGAUUUACAGCUUUUGCCUACACUUGAGGAGUAUGCUUAUCAUGUGGGUGUACCUAUCUUGGAUCAGUUGUCGUUUAGUGGUUUGGAGAGGGUUCCUUCUUCCCAAGAGAUUGCUGACAUGCUUCACAUAGAUGUCUCUGACAUUAUAGCUCAUAUGACUACCAAAGGUGGAAUUCAAGGUGUCCCAUCUGAUUUUCUCAUUGCCGAGGCUACUUUGUUUGGGAAGGCCAUGAGUGAGGAUGCCUUUGAAGCCAUAUUUGUACUUCUCAUCUAUGGGCUAGUGUUAUUCCCCAACAUCGACAAUUUUGUGGAUGUGAACGCUAUUAGGAUCUUCUCUUCUCUUAAUCUCGUUCCGACUCUGUUGGGUGACACUUAUUUCUCUUUGCAUAUGAGGAAUGCAAAAGGUGGUGGUGCCGUUGUGUGCUGUCUGCCUCUAUUGUACAAGUGGUUUAUUUUGCAGUUGUCUCAGACGCUCACCUUCAAGGAGAACAAGGGAUGUCUACGGUGGUCCACGAGACUUAUGUCUCUCACUAAUGAUGAUAUCUUUUGGUAUAACCGUGUGUAUGAUGGCGUUCAGAUUAUUGAUUCUUGUGGUGAAUUCUCCAAUGUGCCUCUUCUUGGUACAUGUGGUGGAAUUAACUACAACCCUGUUUUGGCUUGCCGUCAGCUUGAGUUCCCCUUAAAGGAUAAACCUAAUAACAUUUUGUUAGAAGGUGUGUUCUUUCAAGAGGGUAAAGAUCCCCAGAACUUGAAGGAUAGGAUGGUUCGUGCCUGGCGCAAGGUUCAUAGGAAGGGAAGGAAGGAGCUUGGUCCGAAGAAUUGCAUUGCUUUGGAACCCUACACCGCUUGGGUGAGGAGGAGAGCUCUCGAGUACCGUAUGGCAUACGAUUAUCCGAGACCUACCCCUAUGGUUAUGGUUGGGCCUUCAACCCUCCCUAACCAAGGAGUAGAGGAGUUGAGAAAUGAAGACCGAUCGCGUGCUUGGGUUCGUGAGCGAGAGGAACUUCUUCAGUAACUCAGAGAUAAGGAUGCAGUGAUAGAAUUUCUAGAGCAUCAGGUUAUUGAUGAGCCUGAUGAUGUGGUUACUUCUCUUCUUCCUCAGUCAUCCAGGUUUUGGAAGAGGAAGUAUGAUCGACUCGCCAAGGAGAAGGCCGACAUGGAAGCCGCUUAUGAGAGAGAAGUGAAGAGGCUUCGUGCAGCUUAUCUUCCGAUUUCGAGGGCUUUGAACGAUUGUUUCUAAGGCUCCAUAGGAUGUUCAUUCUCCUUUUCUCUUGUAUUGUAUUUGGUUACCAAAACUGUACUACUUCAUUGGUGUAAAAGUUUCCAAAUAUUAUUGCCAUGAGUAUUGCAUAUAUGUCUUAAAAGAUUAAUAUUUUCAAAUAUUUGCAAAUAGAUCUCUAUAAAGUUCCUCUGAUAAAAAUAAACCAUAUGCACAAACAUUGCAUGCAUCAUAUGCAUAAGAAGGUUUUGUUCUAAGCUCUUGAUCAGUGGUCUAACUCUCUGCUCUUCAUUUAUUUUGAAGACAAGUUGACGCACUGGUAUAAUACAAGGGCCAAUCAUCCAAGGAUAAUGGAGCAUUUAGAGCAAGAGAACAGAGAGCUAAAGGAAGAGAUUAAUAGGUUGACUGCCAUGAUGGAGUCAGUUCUGGCCGCCCAGAGCCAAGCCUCACCAACUCCUGCAACUCCUCCCGCGAGGACUGUUAUUUCUAAGGUUGCUACCUCGACUGUUCCUGCUGCAACAGCCCAUUUCGCUCCAUCUAUGCCAGCCGGGUUCCCAUGGGGAAUGCCUGCUAACUUUGUGCCUGAGGGUUUUUCUCCUACUCUCUCUUCUCUGCCGGCACCUAACCCGGUCCUAUCUGUGCCACCUCCCGUUAUACACACCCUUCCCCAAGUUGAAGACACCAUCUUUCACUCUGAGCCGUCUGAGGGUCCGGACGUUUAUGAGAAGAUGGACGAGAUGAAAGACCAAUUCCUUGAGCUGCACAAGGAACUGAAGACUCUGAGGGGCAAGGACCUCUUUGGUAAAAGUGCUGCUGAGUUGUGCCUAGUGCCUAACAUGAAGAUCCCUAUUAAAUUUAAAGUACAUGACUUUGAGAAAUAUAAGGGAAACACAUGCCCGCUCAGCCAUCUUGUGAUGUAUGCUCGCAAGAUGUCAACACAGACAGACAAUGACCAACUGCUCAUCCACUACUUCCAGGACAACCUGUCAGGCGCUGCGCUUCGGUGGUACAUGGGGCUAGAGAGUGCGAACAUCCGCUCUUUCAACGAUCUUGGUGAGGCCUUCGUCAACCAAUACAAAUAUAAUGUGGAUAUGGCUACUGAUAGGGACCAGUUGAGGGCGAUGUCGCAGAAGGAUAAGGAGACCUUUAAAGAGUACGCCCAGAGAUAGCGAGAGUUGGCAGCUCAGAUAGUGACACCCCUAGAAGACUUAGCACACAGAUAUUUUUGAAGACUUUGAUCUCUUUCUAUUAUGAAAGAAUGAUCGCCAGUGCUCCCUCAGACUUCACCGAAAUGGUGAAUAUGGGGAUGAGAUUGGAGGAAGGGGUCCGUGAAGGACGAUUGUCAAGGGAUGAUGGUUCCUCAGCAAAGAGAUAUGAGGGCUUUGCUAAGAAGAAGGAGGGAGAGACACAUGUUAUAUCCUCUCACAUUAAAAGAAGACCCUCUGUAAGGAGGAAGGACGUGCUCCCUGCCAUCAACCAAUACCAGGUUGCUCAUAUAGCACCUGCUUUUCGAGAAGUUCAUCAUCAAUAACAACAACAACAUCGUCAACAACAGCAGGCCUACCAGCCUCGAAACAAUAAUAACACCAGAUCCAUCAACUACGAGAGGAAGAGGGUCACUUUUGAUCUGAUUCCGAUGACAUACGCUGAACUCUAUCCUUCUUUGAUCGAUAGAAAGCUGAUUACUCCAUGAGAUCCUCCCGCUGUACUAACCAACCCUCAGUGGUGGUAUAAGCCAGAACUGCAUUGUGUAUAUCAUUCUGGUGCUCCCGGACAUGACGUGGAAAAUUUUUACCCACUGAAGAACAAGGUGCAAGACCUUGUGAGAAGUGGUAUUUUGUUUUUCGAAGACGUAGGUCCUAAUAUGAAGAAGAACCCAUUGCCCGAGCAUGGGAAAGCUACUGUGAAUAUCGUCCAGGAUUGCCCUGGCAAAUAUAAAGUCCUGUAUGUUAAUGACAUAAGGCAAUCUUUGAUCGAGAUGCACAAGCUAUUAUGUGAACACAACCACCACGAGCAUGACCAUGAUAGGUGCCAGGUGUGCACUAUCAAUGAGACAGGAUGUCGACAAGUAAGAAAGGACAUUCAUGAGAUGCUGGAUCAGGGAAUGAUUGAAAUAAUUCAGAAUCGCAAUGAGGAUGAAGUUAAUGUUAUCUCCCCUGUAUUCAGAAUCCCAGAGCAUGUUGUCGUCAGUAUGAUGGCAGCAAGAAGAAGGUAUCUCCAGCUCUUGUGAUCAAGCUAGCGGGUCCUGUCCCUUAUUCGUCAGACAAGGCUCUUCCUUACAGAUACAAUGAUGUGAUGCUAGAAGAUGGGAAGGAGGUGUCGUUGCCCUCAACCUCUAUUGUGAGAAUCUCAGACGUCAGUGGUGUGACCCAUAGUGGUCGUGUUUUCUCGGCGCAGUCGAAACCCCAUAAAGACGUUGUGAAGAAAGCUAUUGUUAAUCCUGCUGGUCCCGUGGGGACUUCUUCUUCUAACAAUCCUACUCCUGUUGUGAAGGGUGUUGACCCUGUUGUUGCUAAGAAUAAUAGCACUCCUAUCCAAGUUGGCCAGUCUGGCAUUGUAAGAGAGGAUAGUGAUGAGAUAUUGAGGCUCAUCAAAAGGAGUAAAUACAACGUUGUUGAUCAGCUGCUACAAACUCCAUCAAAGAUAUCUGUGUUAUCUUUCUUGAUGAAUUCUGAGCCACACCGUGAAGCUUUGCAAAGGGUGUUGGACAUGGCAUACGUGGACCACGAUGUCACAAUUGAACAGUUUGAUAUCACUGUUGCAAACAUAACCGCUUGCAACAAUAUGAGCUUCUGUGAUGCUGAUCUUCCGGAGGAGGGAAAAAACCACAAUUUGGCCUUACACAUUUCAAUGAACUGUAAGGAUGAUGCCUUAUCCAAUGUGUUGGUGGACACAGGAUCAUCACUUAAUGUGUUGCCAAAAUCCACUCUGGCUAAACUUUCAUACCAGGGGCCUCCCAUGAGGCAGAGUGGAGUGGUUGUUACGGCGUUUGAUGGAUCGCGCAAAACCGUGAUCGGUGAAUUAGAAAUCCCGAUCAAGAUUGGACCUAGUGAUUUCCAGAUCACUUUCCAGGUCAUGGAUAUUCAUCCGUCUUACAGUUGUUUUCUUGGCAGACCAUGGAUUCACGAGGCAGGCACCGUGACAUCCACCCUACACCAAAAAUUGAAGUUUGUGAAAAACAAGAAGUUGGUGGUGAUAGGGGGAGAGAAGGCUCUCUUGGUCAGUCAUUUAUCUUCCUUUUCCUAUAUUAAUGUUGAGGAUGAGGUUGGGACUCCGUUCCAAGCCUUGUCUAUUGUUGAGCCUUCAAGGAAAGGACUUUCUUCAUUUGUCUCCUACAACAAUGCAAAGUUGGCCAUUGAGCAUGGUGCAACUACUGGUUUGGGGAAAAUGAUCAAGUUGGAAGAUAAUAAGUCCCGAGCUGGCAUAGGAUAUUCUUCCGGUGUUUCUAAUGAGCAUGGGUUAUUCCAUAGUGGAGGUUUCAUCCAUAUUGUUGAAGAUCAGGAAGCUGCUGCCAUUGUUGAAGAUGAUGAAGAGGAAGACCUUGGCAACUUUGUCAUCCCUGGAGGAAUCUGCAAUAAUUGGGCUGUUGUUGAUGUUCCAACAGUUAUCCACAAGUCAGCGUAAUAUGUUCAUUUUGUUUAAAAACCCUUCUCACAUGCCAAAAGGAGAAGUGAUGACAUUGUUGGCACAUUUUGAUUAAUAUAAUGAUGCUCAUUCAAUAAUCACAUGUUAAAUGUUUGUUUUUCAAAUUAUUUUUCCUUUUUGCAUGAAAUUGGUGAUCACCAUAAAAUCCUAAAAAGAGAAUAAAAUCAAUCUUUUCAUCUGCAUAAUGAUUUGCCUUGUUUGAAUUCGGAAAUCUCUUUUAUACUCAAAAUCAUUAUGCAGGUUGAUCAAACCCAUUGAACAUAAUGAUCCAACACCAUCUCCGAACUUUGAGUUCCCUAUAUUUGAGGCAGAAGAAGAUGAUGUUGAAGAGAUUCCUGAUGAGAUUACCCGUCUGCUUGAGCACGAGGAAAAGAUCACUCAGCCGCAUCUUGAGAAUCUGGAAACAGUCAACUUAGGGUCUGAAGACUGCGUUCGUGAAGUAAAGAUUAGGGCACUCCUUGAAGAGUCUAUGAAGAAGGGGUUAAUUGAGUUACUACGAGAAUAUGUCGACAUCUUUGCCUGGUCGUAUGAAGACAUGCCUGGUCUAGAUACUGAUAUCGUGCAACAUUUCUUGCCAUUGAAACCUGAGUGUGUGCUUGUGAAGCAGAAGCUUAGAAGAACUCAUCCUGAUAUGGCAGUGAAGAUUAAAGAAGAAGUUCAAAAGCGAAUUGAUGCAAGCUUUCUGGUGACUUCUACAUAUCCUCAAUGGGGGGCCAAUAUUGUGCCUGUGCCUAAGAAAGAUGGAAAAGUCCGAAUGUGUGUGGAUUACCGGGACUUGAAUAAAGCAAGUCCAGAAGAUGAUUUUCCUCUACCACACAUUGAUAUGUUGGUAGACAAUACAUCUAAAUUCAAUGUCUUCUCAUUUAUGGACGGAUUUUCCGGUUAUAAUCAGAUUAAAAUGGCACCCGAGGAUAUGGAGAAGACAACAUUCAUCACACCUUGGGGAACAUUCUAUUAUCGAGUGAUGCCCUUCGGUUUGAAGAACGCCGGAGCCACAUAUCAACGAGCUAUGACUACCUUGUUUCAUGAUAUGAUGCACAAGGAGAUUGAGGUAUAUGUUGAUGAUAUGAUUGCAAAGUCGAAAACGGAAGUUGAACAUGUAGAACACUUGUUGAAGCUUUUCCAACGUUUGAGGAAGUAUAAAAUCAGCCUGAAUCCGAACAAGUCUACAUUUGGAGUCUGUUCCGGCAAGUUAUUGGGCUUUAUUGUCAGUGAAAGAGGUAUUGAAGUUGAUCAUGCCAAGGUCAAAGCAAUACAAGAGAUGCCUGCGCCCAAAACUGAGAAGCAAGUCCGAGGUUUUCUUGGCCACUUGAAUUACAUUUCGAGAUUUAUAUCCCACAUGACUGCCACAGGUGCGCCUAUAUUCAAGCUCCUCCGGAAAGAUCAGCGUCAUGAUUGGACCGAGGAUUGCCAAAAGGCCUUUGACAGUAUCAAAGAGUAUUUGUCUAAGCCUCCGAUUCUAUCUCCGCCUGUCGAAGGGAGACCAUUGAUUAUGUACUUAACCGUGCUUGAUGAUUCCAUGGGUUGCAUCCUUGGUCAGCAAGAUGAAUCAUGGAAGAAAGAGUAUGCAAUAUACUACUUGAGUAAGAAGUUUACUGAUUGUGAGUCUCGGUACUCAAUGCUUGAGAAGACAUGUUGUGCUUUGGCUUGGGCCGCUAAGCAUUUACGACAAUAUAUGUUGAACCAUAUGACUUGGUUGAUAUCCAAAAUGGAUCCAAUCAAGUAUAUCUUUGAAAAGCCUGCUUUAACUAGGAGGAUUGCCCGUUGGCAGAUGUUGUUAUCUGAGUAUGAUAUUGAGUAUCGAGCUCAAAAAGCUAUCAAAGGAAGUAUCUUGGCUGACUAUUUGGCACAUCAACCAAUUGAAGAUUAUCAGUCUGUUCAGUACGACUUCCCCGAUGAGGAGAUUCUAUAUUUGAAGAUGAAAGAUUGCGAUGAGCCUACGCUCGAUGAAGGGCCAGAGCCUGGUUCCCGAUGGGGCAUGGUGUUCGAUGGUCCUGUUAAUCAGUAUGGAAAUGGUAUUGGGGCAAUGAUUAUUACUCCUCAAGGAACACAUUUUCCUUUUACAGCAAGGCUAACUUUCAAAUGCACAAAUAAUAUGGCGGAGUAUGAGGCCUGUAUUAUGGGUUUGGAAUAGUGUAUUGAUCUUAGGAUCAAACAUCUUGAUGUUUAUGGUGAUUCGGCCCUUGUUGUUAAUCAGAUUAAGGGUGAAUGGGAGACGAAUCAGCCUGGCCUCAUCCCAUACAGAGAUUAUGCAAGGAGGAUUUCAACUUUCUUUACUGAGGUUGAUUUCCAUCAUAUUCCUCGAGAUGAGAAUCGGAUGGCAGAUGCUCUUGCUACGCUUGCUUCAAUGGUUUUUGUCAAGUAUUGGAAUGAAGUCCCCAAUCUUACUGUGAUGCGCUUGGAUAGACCAACUCAUGUGUUUGCAGUGGAAGAAGUGAAAGAUGAUAAGCCAUGCUAUUAUGAUAUCAAGUGCUUUCUCAAAGUCAGACUUACCCGCCUGGGGCAUCUGUUAAAGAUAAGAAGACUUUGAGGAGAUUAUCUGGAAGUUUCAACCUUAAUGUUGAUGUGCUUUAUAAAAGGAAUUUCGAUAUGGUUCUGCUCAGAUGCGUGGAUAGACACGAAGCAUACAUGUUGAUGACUGAAGUCCAUGAGGGUUCAUUUGGUACUCAUUCCAAUGGACAUGCUAUGGCAAAGAAGAUGUUGAGAGCAGGCUACUAUUGGCUGACAAUGGAGUCUGAUUGCUGCAAAUACGUGAAGAAAUGCCACAAGUGUCAGAUCUAUGCGGAUAAGAUUCAUAUUCCCCCGACACUUCUAAAUGUUAUUUCCUCACCAUGGCCUUUCUCCAUGUGGGGAAUUGACAUGAUUGGCAUGAUUGAACCAAAGGCGUCGAACGAUCACCGUUUUAUUCUCGUAGCUAUCAAUUACUUCACCAAGUGGGUUGAAGCGGCAUCAUAUGCGAAUGUGACUAGGUAGGUGGUUGUAAAGUUUAUCAAGAAUCAACUCAUAUGCCGCUAUGGUGUGCCAGACAAGAUCAUUACUGAUAAUGGAUCUAACCUGAACAACAAAAUGAUGAAAGAGCUAUGUAGCGAGUUCAAGAUCGCGCAUCAUAAUUCUUCUCCCUAUAGACCCAAGAUGAAUGGGGAUGUUGAAGUUUCUAAUAAGAACAUCAAGAAGAUUAUUCAGAAGAUGGUUGUUACGUACAAAGAUUGGCAUGAGAUGCUACCAUUUGCUUUGCAUGGUUAUCGUACAUCCGUUCGCACUUCAACAGGGGCAACCCCUUUCUCUCUUGUAUAUGGCAUGGAGGUUGUGCUCCCCGUGGAGGUUGAGAUCCCAUCAAUGAGAGUCCUGAUGGAAGCCAAGUUGACUGAGGCUGAAUGGGUUGAGAGUCGUUAUCACGAGUUGAAUUUUAUAGAAGAGAAGAGAUUAACUACUAUGUGCCAUGGUCAGUUAUAUCAACAAAGGAUGAAGAAAGUAAGUCAAGCCUCGUGUAUUCUGAGAGGGUGACCUCGUGCUUAAGAAAGUUUUGUCUUUCGCGCCCGAUUCCAAGGGCAAGUGGACUCCAAACUAUGAAGUUCCAUAUGUUGUUAAGAGAUCCUUUUCAGGCGGUGCCUUGUUGCUUACAACUAUGGAUGGGGAGGAUUUCACUCGUCCUGUGAAUUCAGAUGCAGCCAAGAAAUACUUUUCCUAAAAAUAAAAACAGAAUAGCUCGCUAAGUUGAAAACCCGAAAGGGCGACUUAGGCAAAAAUGAGUGUCUCGGUGGAUUGAAAACCCGAAAGGGCGAUCCAGGCAAAAGUUAGAGACAUGAAAAAAUAAAAAUAAAAACAGAAUAGCUCGCUAAGUUGAAAACCCGAAAGGGCGACUUAGGCAAAAAUGAGUGUCUCGGUGGAUUGAAAACCCGAAAGGGCGAUCCAGGCAAAAGUUAGAGACAUGAAAAAAAAAAUAUAUCCCGCUAGAUUGAGUAUCUUACCCUGGGGCAAUCUAGGCAAAAAAAAUUAGGGAUUUGGCAAGUAACUGCAUCCUGACAAGACUUUGUUCUACAACUUCCUUUUGUCAAGGAUUCUCGCUCAAUCAUCUUCAACUGAAGCUUCAAAUACAUUGGAUUCAGAGUUGGUGGAGAAGCGGUCAUUAUGUUCAGUGUAGCCCUUUGUCCAAUAUAUAUCACCAAUUUCAAAUUUUGUAAAGAUCCAUGGAGUCUCGCCAUUUGCGGACUACCAUUUUAUCAAAUAAAUUUGAGCCUUUAUCCAAUUCUUGGCACUCUUACUUGUUUCUGUUUAAAUGUUUGCAUAUUUUUAAUUGAUAAAUAUCAUUAUUUUAAACAAAUAAAGUUUUUAUAAAACUGUUUUUAAACAAAGUGAACAUUCACAAUGACUAAAAGGAUAGUUGGAACGUCUUCAGUACUCUCCCAAGGAUAGUAUGAUUUCCAAAAGGUAAGACAUUUGUUCAUAUUCUAACAUUCUUAUAUCCUCUUCAUCAGCUUUCAAUUUGUCUCCCCAGUGAGCGCAGAAAGAACAAAGCAUUAUCAAUUCCCCAGAGAGUCUGGAGUUUUGGCCUCGAUCUUUUCACUACGCCAAAUAAGGGAAAAGAGGGCGCUUAUUUUGGCCUAUAACAGCGCUUUUAAGCGCCCUCUAAUCUGGCGCUGGCAUAGGUAAAGACAGCGCUUUGUUCUCCUGGAGAAGGCUGUCUAAAGUGGCCAAUUAUAGUGCGCUUUUAAGAAAAAAGACGCCCAUCCUGGAGUGGUCCAUAAGGGACACCUUAGAGGGCGCUUUUCUGGAAAAACGCCCUCUAAAGUUGUUCAUGUGUAAAGUGUUUAGAAGGGCGCUUCUGGACAGAAGGCCCCUAAAGUUUGUCAUUGUAAAGUGUUUAGAGGGCGCUUUCAGGAAAAAGCGCCUCUAAAGUUUGUAAUGUAAGUGUUUAGAGGGCGCUUUCAGGAAAAAGCCGCCCUCUAAAGUUGUCAAUGUAAAGUGUUUAGAGGGCGCUUUCUCGGACAAAGCGCCCUCUAAAGUGUUAGUUAUUUUAAAAAAUUUGUUUUGAAAAACAGUGAUUAUAUUUAAUUGGUAACUGUUCGCAUGCUGCAAAAGUGUAAAAUUCAUAUUGAUUCAUCCUUUAAUCCAAUGUUAUACACCAUUAAUCCAUUGACAUAUACAACAUGAAUCCAUUUAUAUACAACAUUAAUCCUCAUAUAUACAACAUUAAAUAUGAUUCUUUGAUCAACAAUAUACAACAACAUAUUCUCAAAGUCUACAAUUAAGAGAAUAAAACAUCGCAACAACACCAGUGACCACUGUAUCCAAAAGCUGUCUAGUAGUUCUAACCAAUACUAAACAAAACGCCCAUUCCACCAUGGGUGGCAAACAUGUUCUGUAUAUCCAAAAGCGUCUAGUAAGUUCUAUCGCAAUCCAUACAAAAUAGGCUCAACAAAACAACAAAUGCAGCAUAAGUAGUCCCCUGCAAAAAGAACACGUCAAUGCAAAUAACACAGAACUGUCAAAAGGCGGAUUGAGCAACAAAUAGUAAACAAUGUGCAUAAAGUUAAUGAACUAGCUAAUAUUACCUGAUUCCUGAAUGGCUGUUAAGGUAAAAUCAAAUUCCUAGGGUGACAAACGCUGGUGUCUACCCCGGUUCCUUUGACAAUUAGAAAACAAAUCAGCAAAACGUGAUAAAUUCAAAUGAUAUAUAUACCACUGGCGUUGAGAGAAUAUAUUGAAAAACCUGGCAUAAUAUUUCCACUUCUAUCGUCUCUUUGGGGUUGACAGGAAAGAGACGGGUGUGAUGUCUCUUUUUGGACACUACAAAAGUAACUUUAGGUAGAUACCACAUCCUCUAUUGAGACACAAGCCCUGAUGAAAAAAAUUAAACAACGCAGAGAAUUUAGUGGUGUAUUUAUGAACGACAAAGUAACAAGAAUCACUUUGAGAAGUCCUAAAUCUGCCUACAAUACAGGGCUGCAAAGUGAUGCAAAAAAAACAUAUAACAAUAUAUGGUAAGUACCUGUAUCUCGACCAUAUUUUUCUUUGCCAACUUCAAGUCCGGACUUCUCUCCAAUUAUCACAUGUAAUCGGAAUUGUUUGUCGAACAAGAAACCAAUGUAACUUGCAACAUUGACCCUUACUUUUGAAGAUAGAAUUGAUAUAUGUUUAGAUGGACAUGUUCCAUUGUCGUAGAGGAUACUUCAAAUAUCCAGCAUAUCAUCAUCUAGCGCGAAUGAGUUGACGACAAUAGAGCAUCUCCAUCUAAACAAAUACCAGCAUCAUAUUUUACUGUAAAAAAGAAAACAAUUAAAAUCAGAUGAAAUGUAAACAAUUAAAAUCAUAAAAGUCAUUUUACCUGUAAUAAGAAAAUAAUUAAAAAUCAUUUGACCUGUACCUUUUUCACUAAGUUCUCUUUCUUUUCUUGUUGGAAUAUGUUCUACAUGUCUCUUACACAACACGGACGGUUGGAUUGAUCCAAAUACCUCAUUAUGAUCAUUUCUAAUAUAUGAUCAUUUGAUCAUAAAUUCUCAUCUUGAUCAUUUCUCUGGUAAACGAUUCAAUCUCAACAUAAUACACCUUGACUCCAGUGUUUUUCAUCAAUUACUUUGUUGAAAAAGAACUAUAGACCAUUUCGUACUUUUUCGGAUCAUUGACAUAGAACACUGUCUAGCUUGAAGGGCUAGAAUAAAAGACUCAUCUUUGUAUCCCACCCUAUUAAGAUCCACUGCAAAAAUCCUGACUUAUCCAUUCGAUAUGCCGUUAUUAUUUUCCAACCCACUUGCACCAAAUAUAGGAAUCUGAAACUUCUCAUAAUCAAACACCCAAAUGCGCUCGAUAACACCAAAUACGACAAUUUGCAAAAUUUGGGGUUUAAGUCUUCACACUUGUAUGUGCAUUGCUUCAGCUACCACGGUGAACCACUAUCCUGCAUAGUACUUUUAUCAUUUGUUCUUUGGUAUAAAUGUGUACCAUUAAUGCGUAUGCGCUAUAGAAAAAACAUGGAAACUUGGACAUAUGCUAAGCAUCUCAACCUUUCUGUAUUGAAGCGGGAUCUGAAUAAUACUUUGAAUAAAUAUGUCCUUAAACCAAGGUAAACAUCGAUUGUUCUCUCGUACUAUCCAUUUUUUCAUUCUAUUGGAUUUAAACCUCGCGAGAACUCUUGUGAAUUAACAUCGCGCUCAACCUCAUUCUCAUUGUGCAGAACAUACAAAUGCAUUGAUCCGUUCGACUUGAUACGCCCACGAUUUUAUUUCCAAUUAGAUUUUUUCUUCUUUCUUUUCGACAAGCUGAGACUUGGGGAGUCCGAUUGACUGAACAUUAGACAAAUAUUCAGUACAAAACUCAAUCGCUUCUUCAACAAUGUAUCUUUCAACCAUACAACCUUCUGGUCGACUUCGGUUCUUCACGUACCCUUUUAAUAUUUUCAUAUAACGUUCACAGGGUCACCAUCUCAUAUAAGCUGGUCCACACAUUGUGUCUCUUUCACAAGAUGAACAACUAGAUGUACCAUUAUGCAAAAAUUAUGGAAGGAAAAACAUUUCAAGCUCACACAAAGUAAUAAACGAUUUCUUUUUGCAACAUUGGUAAAGAAUCGCAGGAUUGAUCACUUUACUGACUGCAAAUUGACUUGAAGAAAGAACAGCAACUUAGUUAUAGAGCUUCUUACUUUUUCUGGAAGAAUAGAACGUAUACCUAUUGGGAGAAAUGUUCGCAUUAUAAAUGGAAUCAGGGUCUUUAAACUCUUUAACUUGAGGUCUUUCAUAGAGACAAGUCUUCUAAUAUCUGAAGAGUACCUUCUGGAACUUUAACUUCAUUAGAACUUACACAAUUUUUUUUUUUUUUUUCCUUUUCUAGAUAGAUGUAAGCGCAGGCGUAGAUAUGUUCGUUUUCCUUUCUUCAAGGGUCCUAAUUCAGUUCUUAUUCCAUCGCUAUCAAGUCCUUUCUUGCCUUAAGGCCAUCCUUAGACUUUUCUUGUAUAUUGAUACGUGCCAAUACACUUUCAAAUACAUUUUUCAAUAUGCAUAACAUCAAGAAAAUGUCUCACAUACAAGGACUUCCAAUACGGCAAUUCAAAAAAACUGACUCUUCUUCCACCGCACUUUUGACGUGUGUGGGCAAAAGGGCUUGCCAAACUGAGUAUCCAAAUCUUUCCCUUUUCAAAAUUUUGAUCACCCGUCAAUAUAGGUGAAGCUCUGCCUUGUUCUGUCUCUCCAUUGAACGCUUUCUCCAUCCACGUAGUGAUGAUUUGAAUUUAAGAUCUCCGAUGACCGAGAAAGCACAUUCUUCUGACAAACUCCAAGCGCUUCCAAUCUGUUUUAUCUUCACAAACAGGACACCACAUUGGCCUUUUAUGCUAUAACUGUAGAUUUCCGUACUGGAAAUCAUUAAUUUGGCCAAACACAUCGCCCUCAGUUGAAACUUUCUUUCCUAUACCAUCAUAACCUCCACACGGUCUCCCAAAAUUCUUAAAUCUUCGAUUAAGGGCUUCAAGUCACGUCUAGGUCAUUCCCUGGUUGUUUAGGUCAGAAAUCAACAUAGACACAUCAUGUACUUACUUCAAUACAAUAGCCAUGGAGGUAGGUUAAUAAAUCAUUAAUAUCACAGCGAUUGACUGUGGAGAUACUCUGGAAUACCGUGUGGGUUCAUUCCAUCAGUAGAUAUGCCAAGCGAAGGUUUUGAUUCUUCUCCAAAUUCAGGAUAAUCAUUAUCAAUUUUCACCACUGUGUGAAAUCUGCCGGAUGUCGAUCUUUCCAUCUAUAUCUUUCAUCUGCAUGCCAGGUCAAGGUGUCUUGAUCGGUUUCACUACGAACAUGCAUCUAAAUUCGAAUAAACAGGAAAAUACCACAAGACCUUUGCUGGAGACAACUUGUUCUUAAUCGCGAGACCGAUUUAGGUCACUCAUUUAACGAUGCAUACUCAUUUCGAAACAAAACGCAAUCGUUGGACAUGCAGUUAUCUUAUCAUAGCUCAUGCAAUAGAGCACAACAUCUAUUUUGGUCUCAUAUGUGAUUGGGAAGAAAUUAUCCUAGAAGCAUAUCUUCAAAGGCUAUACUCUGUGAAAUUUUAUCCGACACCCAUUGCCCGCCUUUAAGUUGUACACUUUAUACCGCAGACAAUCUUGUGAAUUAGUGCACCAUCAACAAAGGUUUCUCUGCAUCUUACCAACCUCUCAAACAUUCGGACAUCCUUAAGAUCUCCUUCAAGUGCUUCUGCAAUCUCUUCAACUCGAUCACAAUCGUAUGUAUCUGCGCCACUGUAGUUUGAGGCAAGGUCGUACUAUCCCCGUUCAACAUUCUCGUUACUUUUCUCACCAUGCAAAUUCCAACGUAUAACUUCGAUCAAUUCCAUGCCUCAUUAGAUGCGAUGUCAACUGACUGCGUCAACCCGUUCCAUAACAACACAAGCAGGUAUAUAUCAUUCUACUGGGUUUCGGCGUGCGCAACGGCAAACUUAACGAAUUUGAUACCCAUUCUCGUACCUCUCGACAAUCGAUUGGAAGACAUCCAUGUAUUAUCAUUACUAAUUAGAUAAAUAAAAAACAAUUCAGAAGAGUUCAAACACAUUCGGACCUAGGUUUCUAAUGAUACUGGUGUUGACACAAUCAAAUGUUCAUAGGUCGUAUAACCAUUGCAUCCGCAUCAUGGUCACUAAAAACCAACCGUCAAUUUCCUAGUGCAUCCGCUAUCAUGGUCGAACAAACGUAGAAGGAGGAAACGCGCAGUAAUAAGGUAAAAUAGAAAUUGGGCAAAGCUAAAACAAAGCAAUAACAUAAAACAGUAAUUGGGAAAAGCGUGUACUUUGAUGGUAGAAGGAGAAACGCGCAUGUAGAUCUAACAGAGGUGGAAGGAAAACGCUCAGAACCCUAACAGAAAAAGAACGCUAAUAACAGAUAGUGAAAUAACAAAACGCGCAGUAUGCUAUAAUUUUAAUGUUUACUAAAGGGACAUUAGAGGGCGCUUGUGGAAAAAAGCGCCCUCUAAAGGGGCCUAAGAGGGCGCUUAUGAAAGCGCUCUCUAAGGCUUUCUAGAAGCGCUUUAUAAACUGGAAAUGUACAUGGACUUAGAGAGCGCUUUUUCAAAAGCGCCCUCUAAGGGUAACCUUAGAGGGCGCUUUCACAAAAGCGCCCUCUAUUGUUGUCCCUCCAUUUUUUUUGCUUCACUUUAGAGGGCGCUUUGUUACAAAAGCGCCCUCUAAAGGGGCCUAAGGAGGGCGCUUCUAAAAGCGCUCUCUAAGGCUUUCCAAAAGCGCUUUAUAAACUGGAAAUGCACAUGGACUUAUAGAGCGCUUUUUUAAAAAGCGCCCUCUAAGGUAACCUUAGAGGGCGCUUUCUAAAAAGCGCCCUGUAUUGUUUUGUCCCUCUAUCUCCUCCUUAUUUUUUCGCUUCACCUUAGAGGGCGCUUUAUUACAAAAGCGCCCUCUAAAGUGCGCUGUCUAUUCCAGUUGUUCGCUCCUUAUUUUUUCUCUUCACUUUAGAGUGCGCUUUUGUAAUAAAGCGCCCUCUAAGGGGCACUGUCUAUUCCAGUUUUUGGCGUAGUGUUUAGAGAUCUGUAUACCUCUAUAUCAGGCACUACCAUUUAUGUUUUAUCAAUUAUAUGGUUGUCAUCCCUUGUAUGGACUGGCCUCAAAUCCCUUAUAGAUUGAUAAAAGUUGAUAUGCUAUCUAUUCAUGAGGAAGUUUGUCUUUCCCUAGUAUGAGUAGAAAUCUCAAGCGGAGUAAGCAUGUGUUCCCUGCAUAGCUGCCUUUCUAGAUAAGUUGUUUCCUCAGUAAAAGUUGUCUAGAGCAGUUGGUGAAGGGUUUAUUUCCCUUUUCAUCCCUAGCAUGGCACGUGUUAACUAAGGAUUAGCUUCCGAUUCCCUCAACCAGGACAGUUCCUCUGGGAAUGCUUGCAGUUCAUCCCCAGUAGGGUUGUCGGCAGUUUAUCCCCAGUAGGUUUGCUUACAGUCCAUCCCCGAUGGAGUUGCCUAAUCCGAGCUUGUUAAUUUGAACCCCCUAUGUGGUUGAAGAUCUCUUCCAGUAUUGGACAGUGAUGAGGAAGAUGUGUUAUUUCCUUCCCCAGCGGAGCAAUUGUUCUUUCUCCCCUUAGCAGAGAUGUCUCCUCAACGAUUAGAAGGGAGUGUUUGAUUGAUGCGUAUCUGUUUGGUGGUUGUUCCCCAUGGAGUUUCACAUCAUUCCUUGAUAAGAUCUCCAGUAGAGUUUCUUCUAUGACAAAUCUUAUCAAUAUCCCGUCACUUGUCCCUGAGCAUUGCUGGGAGAUCCCCGACAGUCGGUAGCUGUGACUUUGCCUAUCCCCAGCGACGAUUGGUGUCUCCUGGUAUUAGAUCAUCCCCACCAGAACUGAUUUCUCCUGUGGGCCUGGCCUUUCUCUUUUGAGAUGUUAUAUCGGAUGUCCGUUCGUGGCUCUCGAACCUGUUUGUGUUAGAUAUGUUUGUCUGUCAGCAUUAAUCAUACAUAAAUCACGCAUAUACAUGCAUAAUUAUAGCAUUCGAGAUAUUCAUGUUGCAUUCCUUGCCAUAUAUGUUUGCUUGUUAUCUCCUGCUAUUGGUGAAAUGUUCUUCCCCAAGCAGAUGUUGGUGUCUGAUCUCUCCAUUUAGAGUCAUCCUCAUAGGCAGAAAAUGUCUAUCUUUCCUUCUUUAUUCCCCACUGAGUUAUGUCCUCGUCGAUGAUUAUUGUUUCAGUCUCCUCCCCAAUUAUGUAUCGGGAUGGAAUUACUCCCCUGAGUUAUAUCCUCAUCGGGUUGAGUCUUGUUUAAUUGUGUCUUUCUAGUUUGUUCAGAGAUUGACUCCUUUCCUGUUAUUCCCCUGCAGUUCCUUAUGGUUUAGUUGUUGAAUUGCUCAGUAACCAGUAAUUGUUCAUCUUUCCCCAGUGGACCUUGUGGCCUUCUACCCAGUAACUGAUAGUUAUAAGUCAUAUUUCUGUGGUUUUCUACCCAGUAACCGGUAGAUGUAAUCCCCUCUUUCCUUGUGGAAUCGAAUGCCCAUCCUAUAAGUCGAGUUUUCUAUUUCAGCCCUCCUUUCGGAUGAUGAGUGUCUUGGAUAUGUUCCCAAUUCACGCCUGGUUGGUCACCUAUUAUAUGCCCAGUAACCGGUAUCCUUGGUGUUCCUUCCUUCUACUCCCUAUUAUGACAUGUUGUCCCCUGUGGAUUCAGAUUUCCUUGAGUUGAGAUGUGCUAUUUAGGUCCUCCUCAGAUGUGUCAGAUGAUUGAUGUCUCUCACCCUUAUACCGGUCUUAGAUAGUCUUUCCCCCUGAGCGUGUUGUUCUCUCACCAAGUAACCGGUGUUUUGAUAACAUGUCCCUCUUUGAGUUUAUUACCCAGUAACCAGUAAUAUCUCGUUGUUUUCUUCCUCAGCUGGGUCCUUUAUGGACAUCCCUGUCUGAGCCCAGAUUUUUAUCCGAGGUAUCCUUUGCGGAUAGUUUUGAUGUAUUGGCAUAUUUCCCAAUACAUGCAUCUUCGCUUCAGCUCGAGUCUUUCCAUUGAUUCAUUUUCAUGGAAUCCCUUCAUGUCUCCCAACAAGUUUUCUAGUCGUGACCUGCUCACGCUUUUUUUCCUUAUUUCCCCCCAGAGUCUCUGUCUCCCUAGUGAGUGUGUUACUCCUACGGAUUUGUCAGUUUCUCCUGAUUUCUUUUCCUUCAUGGCAAUUAUUCACCAUGAAGAUUUUAUUUUGUAUACAUACAUUUGCAUCAUGAGGUCUCUUAGGGACCAAAAUCCGUCUCUUUGUUAUUAUUUAAGCCCAUUCUACCUCGUCGAGACGAAGAUUUUAACCUUCAUAUCUCCGUCUAGAAUGAGCUUAAAUAGGGGCGUCUGUAAGACCCUAAUUUUGACCCUAAGAUCCCUCAUGGCAUCAUAUCAUUUCUCAUUGCAUUGCCUCAAGGAUCAUAGCAUGUGUGGCUUCUUAACCCUAGGGGUUGGGACUUGUGUGAGUUGGUUUGAGACCACCAAGCAUGCUUGCAUUGUAUAUUAUUUGCUUUUCUUAUUUUGUUUACUAACCAAAAGCACAAAAAUAUGUCACUAACUCUUUUUGUUUUGAAGCUCAAGUGAUCAUGUACUCCCAUGCUCCUAGGAGGCUCCUAAGCUCAUUGAAGUGGCUAGAUGAAGAUGAGAAAAAAAACCAAAAGCACAAAAAUAUGUCACUAACUCUUUUUGUUUUGAAGCUCAAGUGAUCAUGUACUCCCAUGCUCCUAGGAGGCUCCUAAGCUCAUUGAAGUGGCUAGAUGAAGAUGAGAAAAAGCAUGAAAAUGGUCCACAAAGUUCUUAAUCAUCAUAUAUGUCUCCCAAGUAUCUCAAUUUUCCAAUUUAAUCAAGAUAACCCAAAGGGCUUGAGGAUUGUUUCCCAAGGAAACCCUAGUUCAAUUGUGCAUUGACUGUGCCUUGCUCAUGAAGCAACCUCAACCUAUAAUCAAAUUUAAUCAAGGGAAGUUCUUUCAUUCAUUAUUUUAUGCAUAUAUGAGCCUAUGUGAAUAUCCUCAAUCAUUCAUUCAUCAAGAUUUGAAGUUUGGCCUUGAGAAGUUGAUUAGUUAAGUCAUCUAACUAAACUAAGGAUCACUGAAACACAACUUGUGAUGUGUUUGUCAAAUGAAGAUGACCCCAAGAGCAGAAAUGUUCUCAAUAACCAUAUGAACAACUAUCAUGUUCAUCAAAAAUCCAUUUGAAAUUUUUAAGGUCAUCAUUCAUUUCAAAACAUUAUAGGUUAUUUUGACUGAAACCCUAAUUUUGGAUCAACUUCCCAAAGACCUAACUUAUUUAAUUUUUAAGAUUUUGAGGUGAAACCAAAUGCAUUGGAAAUCUUAAUAUGUCUACUUCAAAUGUUAUAUUGGACAAAAGUUCAUAACCCUAAAAGAAACACAUGUGAUAAUGCAAAACAUUAUAGGUCACUUUGGACCUAAGUCAUUGAAUUUGAAAAAUGUCCAAAUUCAAGUGCCCAUAACUUUCUUAUUAAAAAUCCAAAUGAUGAAAAAUGUAAGUCUAAAUUGAUCAUAUUGAAACUAUCUAAACCUUUAUGUUGGAGGUUUUUCCAUUUGAGGCAUGCAUCAUUAAAACAAAAGGGUUUGAAGUUGUUUGGUUUUGGCAAAAAAUUUCAAAGGAAACCUAGGCAUGUUUUGUACCCCAAACUUCAUAGCAAGUUUUCAUAAAUUUCCAAACUCCAAAUGGAUUUAUUCCCAACAUAAAUUUUGUUCCUUAUUCCAAUAGUGUUCCAACCUUUACUCACAUGACCAUUUUUGGAUUUUUUAUGUGGGAGUUUCGAAGGGCUUAAUGCUUAUGUUCAUUUAUGCAAUUCACAUUGAAACUUCAUGUGCAAGCAAAUGCAGCUCCAAUUACACAUCCAUUCACUUGCAUAUGAGUUCAACAUGGAUUUCCAUUCACUUUUGGGCCUCACAUGCGCCUGUACAAGCCUAUGCAUGGAGGAUCCAAAAUUCAUGCACACGAGGGAAAGCAAGCAUUGCAUCAAGUUUAGCUAUAAAUAGAAGUGCCUUGAGCUUCAUUCCACAACCUGAAGGAGAUCUGAAAUGUUGCUGGAUUGAAAACCAAACCCUCACUCAAAGGAAUUUCAGUUUUCAUUUUCAAUUUCAAGCUUGAAUUUCAACAUCAUUAGUUGAUCUUCAAGUCUUAAUUCCUUAGCCUUGCAUCAUCAUUACACUUCCAGAACAAGAUUGGAUCAAAGGCUUGAAGAACUCGUGCUGUUUGAAGCUGCAUUUCAGAGGUAGAACCUCAAUUUUCCUUGAUCUAGAUCUUGCUAUAUGCUGUGAAUUCCUUGAGUUUUUAUUGUUUUCUGAAGUCCUCAAGCAUGAGGCAGGCCAGUGGUGGUCUCAAUUUUACAAAUCGUGCCAUUUCAGAUCAAACAUCAUGAUCUUCAAGCUCAUGUUUCUCCAUAAAUAGGAACAUGGAGGAGAAUCCAUGGUUACAGGGGUGAUGUACAUCACCCCAACUUCAUUUUGAUACCUUGCCUUUUCAUUUUCAUUGAAGUUGAAAUCCCUGCGCGUGGUGGCCGAAAUCAGUUGGAUGGCCGGAGAAGAUGGUGGUUUCCACCACCAUCUCCACGUGGGAGCCUCUCAUCCCUUGGAUCUCUCUCAAAUGUUUUAAUCCUGGCCUUCCAUUGUUAUGACUUGUUUUAAUUCAAAAUGUUGCGCGCUUGACUUUGGAUCAUGGUGUGUCCGCGCCUCUGAGCCUUAGGAUCAAUGCCACAUCAUUUAAUGAAAAGAUCCAAUGGCAGCACAUUUUUGUUAUUUUCUGAUUUUUGUUUUAAUUUCAUUUAAUUCCUUUUAUUUUCAAAAAUUCAUAAAUAUUUUAUUUGAAGUCACAAAAAUAUGAGACCAAUGUCAAAAAAUUUCUUGAAAACUCUAGUUUCAUAUUUUGAUUUUUAAUUAUUUUUGUGACUUCAUUUAAUAUUUUUUGUGAAUUAUUUGGUUUUUAUUAGUUUUAAUUCAUUUUAAAAUACUUUUUGACAUCUGAAAAAUCCCAAAAUAUUUUCUUAACACAUAUGGAUCAUGACAAGUCAAUGAAAAAUGGUCUCAUCAAUUUCUUAAUUGAUUUGAGAUUUAUUUGAGAUUUUAAUUCAUUUGUGUUAUUUUUCAUUAUUUUUAAUUGUUUUAAAAUAAUUUCUGAUUUGAAAAAUUGUUGAAAUUUUUUGUCAAAGCUUGUUUGACCAUGUUAAUGAGAAUUUAGUUGGACUUGUUGAAGUUGAUUUGAAUUGAAUUUGAGGUUUGACCAUAUUUUGUCCAUUUUAAUUUUACAUUUAUUUUUAAUUCAAAAAUACCAAAAAAGUAUGUUUGACUUAUUGACUUCUAAUCUUCAUUUCUCUUCUGUUUAGUUUUGGUUGAUGAUGAUUUGAUUCACUUUUGACCAAUUGUUUUUGACACUUGAAUUCUUUCUCCAUUCAUUUCAUCUCCAUCUCAUUUUCUUUUUAUUUUGACCAAUGAGUGAAUGUCUUAUGGUUGGUCUUGACAUAUGAGAGGUUUAACCUUCUUUGAUCCAAAUCAAACUCAACUUGAUCCAUUAUCAAGUGAGUUGCUUUGUGUCCAAGAUAGGUUGCUUCUUGGUCAAGCAAAAAAACCUAAAGUCCAUACAAGGCCUUUCUUCUUUUCUUUUGGCAUGGCUAGUUGUAGGAGUUUGGCUUACUAGUCAUGAUCUCUAACUUGUGUUUAUUUGCCUAUAGUUUUAUUGACCGACCUCAGAUAGGUGUGACUACUACAUUAGUCCACUUACGAUUGCUUAACAUAGCGCUAAGUUUGGCUUACUAGUCAUGAUCUCUAACUUGUGUUUAUUUGCCUAUAGUUUUAUUGACCGACCUCAGAUAGGUGUGACUACUACAUUAGUCCACUUACGAUUGCUUAACAUAGCGCUAAAUUGUCUUAGGACAAACUAAUAUAACUAUACUAACUACUAACUUUAAUUUGAGCAUUUAAUUUCUUGCAAUUUACUUUAAUGCAAUUUACUUCUUGCUCAUUUAUUCAUAUUGCCUUUUCAUUUUGCUCACUUGAGGACAUAUUUUAUGUUUAUGCCAUUUUCCUUUUUGCUCAUUUGAGCUCAUUAUUGUAAAUAAAUAUAUUGUUGUAUUGUGUUUGUUUUGGCUUUGUGUGAACCUAAUGCAAAAGGAGAAAGGACUUAGAAUUAGGACUUACCUAUGCUUAAAGGAGUUCAAGAGCAACUAGGCCUCAUUCCUUUAGAAUGCUAAACUUGUUGAAGAGCAACUAGGCCUGAUGUCUUUAGAAUGAUAAAUUUCAAAGUUGACUUCAAAGGACUUCCUUUCCAAAACUCAUUCUUUGUCCAUUCUUCUUAUUGUGUUGUGAAAUUUUUGAUGUUUGUUCUUGUGUGAUAGGGAUUCCAUCUUGAGAUAGUAAGAAGGACCAUUGUCAUGAGUAGCCAAGUUAAAAGAGACAAGCCAAAAGGAGAUCCUAGGAGCUUGAAUCUAUAAUUGUCUGAUUGCUUGUUGUGUGCUAAGUCCAAAGGAAAGGAGCAUCUUGAAUCAUCUCUAUGAUUUCAAGAGAAGAAACUCCAAGGGUUUUAUCCUCUCUCUCUAUCUUUGUAUACCUUAGGACUAGCCCUUCUCUUCUUCUCUCCACUCUAACCCAAGCCAAACUAUUUUUGUGCAAACUUUGACAUUGUUUUCAAAUUAGAAACCUAGGCCUUAUGCCUUUGACUUUUCAAAUCUUUUCAUUUUAUGAGUAACACUUAUUUGGAAUUAGGUUGAAAUUGGAGUAUUUGUAAAUAAACUUAACUUGUAAAUACAACUCACUUCAAGUUGUUUUUGUGGUUCCAAUGGCCACCUUUGUUAAAAAUUUUCACAAACAUUAGUCAUAGGUUUGAGUUAUCAUAGUGGUUGAUGUAAAUCUCACCUCACCCUUAGUGAUUGGACUCUAAGUCUUCCAUACUUAUUAUAGGGUUAACCCCUCACUAGUAUGUUGAAGCUCUCCUCACAUGGUGGAUUGGUUGUUUAGGUUGAGUUUUCUCCCUUUGAUAACAAAAGACCUUAAGACUUUUGAUCAAAUCAAUUCACCAAUCUUUGUGAUUUUUACCCCGAACUAUGAGGUUUUGAUCCUACCUUUGUGGUGGUACGUAGGCAAUGGGUUCAUCCAUGCAAACAACAAAAUUGUAAAUAUAAUCUAUUCUCUCCUCAUCCCCCAAAUCUGUUGCACAUAUUUUCACAAAUACCAACCUACCACACAUAUUUGUAAAAAGAGGUUCCCUUAGAGUACUAAGGAUGUUUUGGGUGCGUAAAACCUUCCCAUUUCAUAACCAACCCCCUUACCUAGAUCUUUAACAUUUUUAUUAGUUUUUGAUUUGAUAAAACUUCUUACUUGGCUUUUGUUCGCUUUUUAGCCUUUCCUUUGGACAAAUAAAAGUGAGGUGGUGAAUCGAAUUGUAUAUUUACUUUUGGUUUAUUCAAUAAAUCAUAAGGUAGCGAGUACCCCGCUACAGUCCCCAACUAUCACGACAGGGAAAUUAUCACGAGCGCUCACAUGCUUAAAACAGUAAUAGAGUCAAAAUCAGAGUUUAUUUAUUCCAAAAGGAAAGAGAAAAUAUAGAUAAAACCCCUAAAAGAAAAAUAAAAUGGUCAUUACAACCAAAUUCCGGUUCAGGAGUCGGUUAUGUGAGGGGAAGGUAUUAGUACCCCUCACAUCAGUUGUACUCAACGGAAAACCAUUCAGUUAGCUUUAUGAAUGGAGUGUUUGCUUUCAUUAUUGUUUCUUCUAAUUAUUAAAAGUUUGAGAGGAAAGGAUAAAAGGAAUAAAAAUACGUUUUUUAUUAGGGUGUCUGACGAGACGUUGAAUCUCGAUCAUAUGUAUCCCCAGGUGCGAUAGGGAACUCAAGGCUAUGUGGUUCUGGGUAGAAAAUGUUUGUUGGAUGGUUGAUUUUAGAGAAAAAUUCUUAGUUAGAAUUCAAGCGGAAAACAUUGUUUGCUACCCAAAACAUGGAGAAGUAAACAUUUGAAUCGCUUCAUAAUGGACAACAUAAUUUGGAAUCUCAUAGAAUUCUGUUUUCAUCGCAUUCAAGCGGAAAAUGUUCCUACUUCUUGUGCAUGGUAAGAACUGAAAUUCUGGUAUCAGAUAUAAGAUGUCGAAGGUAAUGUCACGACACUAAUAUCUGAAUAAUACAAACAAGAUAAAGAUAAAGAACAGUAAUGCAAGACACAAGCAAUUGUUAACCCAGUUCAGUGCAACUCACCUAGGUCUGGGGGCUACCAAGCCAGGAAGGAAAUCCACUAAAUAGAAUCAGUUCAAAGACUCUCAGUAAACAACACAAGUUACAGUCUUUUUCACCUAACCUCUACCCGUGUGACUUCUACCUAAGAAUUCUUAGAUAUGAGAUCCCACUCACUCCCCCUCAAUCACACCAGUGAUAUAAACAAGAAUUACAAUCAAAAGAAGACACUCUUCAAAGACACACACUUGAUCUUACUUAACAACUUCAAUCAAGUAGACACACACUCAUGCUUAAAAGAUUUGAGUGACAAAAUACAACUAAAAAAUCAGACCAAUUCAAUCAUCUAUGGAUGAAUUGAAUGGCUUACAAGUCAUACAACCACACAAGACUUAAACCCUUAUUCUCUCUCAAUAUUUCGCUCUGUAUUUCUUGUGUUUCAAAUUAGGUUUUCCAUGUCCUUUUUAUAGAAGCAUUUGGCUGGGCUUGGACAUCAUAAAACCCUAAAACUAUUUUCCUUUUAAAUCUUCUCAUGACAGCUGAUUAGAUCUCUUUGGAAAAUAAGUAAAUCUGAGUCCUUUUUAUAGAAGCAUUUGGCUGGGCUUGGACAUCAUAAAACCCUAAAACUAUUUUCCUUUUAAAUCUUCUCAUGACAGCUGAUUAGAUCUCUUUGGAAAAUAAGUAAAUCUGGUUGUAAUUAACGAUUGAAUGUGUGUCUAAUCAGAUCUUCAAUCAUACAUAGAUUUGCAUUAAAAACAUAAUCACAUAAUACAUAACAUUCAGACUGAAUGUUCUGUAUAUAGAUGUCAAGACAUCGGGUCUGACAUCCUGGAACAAUCCUGCAUAAUUAUAUUUUAAACUUCCAGCAGGUACAUAAUAUCAGAUGUCAUGACAUCGGGUAUGACAUCCUAAAACAAUCCUGCAUAAUUAUAUUUUCAACAUCCAACAGGUACAAGGAUAUCUUAUGUUAAGACAUCACAUGUGAUAAUUUGUGAACACUCUUGGUUUUACCAAAAUUGCUGCCAACACCUAGAACCAACAAACCCCCCCUUUGGCAAAUUUUGGCUAAAACAUAUAUCAGUCCAUUUUGUUCACAAGAAAAAACACAUCAGCAUAUAAAUAGCAUAACAACAGUUUAAGCAGCAGCAAAAGCAAACACAAUUACUAGCUAUAAUACCAACUAGUAAUACACAAAUGUAGAUGGGUACUUCUUCUCCCCCUAAGUCUGUUCACCUACAGACAUCUCCUUCAACAUCUGUAACAUUCAGAAUUCAGAAUCACAUUCUGACAUCUCCUUUAACAUCACCUGUACAACCACCUGUACAACACAGAACAUUCUUCUACUCAAUAUUUGAUAUCUCCUUCAACAUCACCUGUGCAACACAAAAUAGAACAUCAUUCUGUCCAACAUCAAACAUCUCCUUCAACAUUAGUUGUUCAUCUGUUUAGCCUAGCUAGCUACAUCAACAUUGCAGAUCUCCACAUCUUCACACAACUACAGUUCUCCACAUAAUACCUUCUCCCCCUUUUUAGUCAAAAUAGACCAAAGUGACCAAUUAGACAAAAUAAAUGUCAAUUAGUCUAGAAGAGAAUGUCACAAGGGAUGUUAUAACAUAUAAAAUGUUAAAACAUAAAUGUCAGGUGGUACAAACCAUAAUUAUACACAGCUGUAAUAGCUGAGCUAAUCAGAAAUCCAGGGAACUCAUAAAGAGCCCAAAUAUUACAUCAUGGCAUCAAAAAGGACUGCAAAAAAUUACACACAAUAAACAGAAAAGCAACAAAUCAUCCAAGCAUCCAAAAUAGCAUCCAGAACACACAUCAUUAACAGGGGGGGCAUCAACCUAGUAUGAGGAGGUAGCAUCUUCAGAUUCAGAACUGCCACUAGAUUGAUCUUGAGCAUUAGACCUCUCACUUGAGAUAUGGGCAUCUGACUCCUUGACUUCACCAACCUUAUCCAUCUCUUCUUACUCCAACCUACUAAUGAGAACCUCUAAAGCCUCUUUCCUAGCCUUGGAAACCCUAAUACCCGUUUCCAGCUCCUUACAAGUUUCCUUCAAUUGAGCAAUCAGGCCACCUUGAGAGGUUGGGUCCUUCCUUGCAGAUGUCAUGACGAUGUCAUUGACAUGAUUGCCUUUAAAUAACUUGUAGUGAAUGGACAAUGGGGGCUUCCUUCUACUAGGGAUAUUACUUAUGUUUAGAAUACCAGGUUGCUGGCUUAAAAUAAUUCCACAAAUGAUAGAGGGAAAGGCAAUUAGCAGCUUUACUGCAUUAGUGGAGGCAGGUCUAACAAUUUGUUCAAACAUGAACCUUCCAAAAUCAAAGUUGAGCCUGGUUCCAAUAGCAUAGAUUAUCCUUCCAAGACCAUUAGAGAUAGUUGAGAUAUGGUUUAUUGGUACCCAGUUGGCUGAACCAAUCUUAUGCAAGAUGUCAUAUUUAAUAGUUAAUUUACCAGCUGAUAGAUGCUUCUUCCUUGGCCAUUCCUUGACUUGGCCAUAAGUGAUUGUCCUACAGACUUCAUUGUUUGUAGCCUCUAACUCAACAGCUUCUUCAAUUCCUCUUCCUAGGAAUUUAUUGAUUACAGUUGGGGAAAACCUUACACAUCUUCCUCUCAUGAACACCUUGCAGAAUUCUUUGCUAUUCUUGUAAAAAAUAUCCUCUAGGAUAUUCACCACAAACUUCUUCACUAAACCUUCAAAACAUU